UCCAACACCACCUCCUGCUCCAAACCCUCCACCUUUACCUGCACCACCCCCAACUCCACCGCCAAAACCGCCACCUCCACCUACUCCACCUCCACCACCAAGACCUCCUCCAGCACCUCCACCAAAACCUCCACCACGUCCACGUCCACCUCCAAAUCCAGGACCUCUUCCUCCUGGUCUUCCAAAUCCACCACGUCCACCACCAAAACAACCUCUCCUUCCAAAUCCACAAUCAUUACCUCCCCACCUCUCUUUUUCUAUCUUGCUAUCUCCAAAAGCAACUACACUCAAUUCUAACACCACACUCAAGAUAAGAAGAAGCACGCAAAACCAUUUUUGAGAAGAACCCAUAAUGCUUACAAGAAUUCAAACUUGCUUUGCUCUACUGGCCUUUAGACAUGGGUAUAUAUAGAGGCUUAAUUCCUUAAAGAUACUACCAAAAGUAGUAAGUUGGCAAUAGGGUUUUCAACUCUCACUACGUAAUUAAUGCAUGCUCUGUUGCAUGGCUUGUACGACGCGUUCGAGUUGUUGGGGAGAUAAGAGAAAUUGAGGCGGGAACAUUAAAUGAAGAUAUAUUCAAAGUCAAAUCCCAUAGGUCGCUUGUGCUUGUUUUCAAUUCCACCGACAAGGAUUUACUAAGGUGGCGUUUGGUUCGCAAAUCGGAAUCGGAAUCGGAUUCGGAAUCGAAUAUCUUGGGUUUGGAAUGAGAUCAUUCAUUUCAAUACAUUUGUUUGGUUCAAAUACCAGAAAUGUAUAUCAUUACUAUAGUUGAUGUUUGGUUCGUCGACUCUUUUAGAAUGGAAUAUAAUAAAUAUAUCAUAAACUAAAUCGUAAAUGAUAGUUAUUGGCUCUUUGUAAAUGGGAUAUAAGAAAUUUUCACUAAUUAAAUAUAUUAGUAUAAAUGUAUUAGUAAAUUUAGUCUAACUGAUUAAUAAUUUCUAUUAGUAAACAUGUAUAAUUAUUAGUAUAAUUGAUAAUAUUAAUUAUAUUACAUAAAUUAAUAUACAUUAUAAAAUACAUAUAACUAAUAAUAUUAUUAUUAUUAUAAGUUUGUAACUAAUUAAAUUAAAUGUUAUAUAUAUAAUUAAAUAUAAAUAUACAAAUGUUAUAAUAUAAAUAUAUAAUUAUAAUUAUAUAAUAUAUACAAAUAUUAAUUAUACAAAUAUUAAUUAUAAAUAUAAUAUAUAUACAUAUUAAAUAUAGUUAUUAUUAUAUAUUAUUAUAUUUAAAAUAAUAAUAAUAAUAAUUAUUAUUAUAUAACUUAUUAAUAUUGCAUACAUGUAUAUAUUAUAAUUAUAUGCACAUAUAAUAUACAUUUAUAAAUAUACAUAUAUAUUAUAAAUAUAUUAUUAUAUAAUAUUAAUAAAUUUAUAAUAUGUAUAUUAUAUAAAUAUAAUUGUAUUUAACUAAAUAAUUAUAAUAUAUAAUUAUAUAAUAUAAUAAUAUCAUUAUUAUAAGUUUGUAACUAAUUAAAUUAAAUAUUAUAUAUAAUUAAUUAUAAUUAUACAAAUGUUAUAAUAUAAAUAUAUAAUUAUAAUUAUAUAAUAUAUAAAUAUUAAUUGUACUAAUAUUUUAAAUAAAUAUAAUGCAUAUUAAUUAGAUAUAGUUAUUAUUAUAUAUUAUUAUAUUUAAAAUAAUAAAUAUAAAUAUAAUUAUAUAAUUUAUUAAUAUUAUAUACAUGUAUUUAUUAUAAUUAUAUGCACAUAUAAUAUACAUUUAUAAAUAAACAUAUAUAUUAUAAAUAUAUUAUGGUAUAAUAUUAAUAAAUUUAUAAUAUAUAUUAUAUAAAUAUAAUUAUAUUUAACUAAAUAAUUAUAAUAUAUAUUUAUAUAAUAUACUAAUAUUAUAAUAAAAUAUAUAAUUAUAAUAAAAUUUUAUAAUUAUAAUAUAUUAUAAUAUAUUUAUAUGUUAUAAUAUAAAUAUAUAAUAUAUAAUAUAUAUAAAUAUUAAUUAUACUAAAUAUUAUGUAAUUAUAAGAUUUUGGAAUCACACUUGGGUUUUGGACAAAACCCACCAUUUUACUAAGGAAUGAAGGGAUGCCAAAUUUUUAGAAAUCAUUCCAAAAUUUCAAUUCUCAUACCAGUGAACCAAACACCAAUUAUGUAGUUUAUUCCAUUACUUCAUUCUGAUACCCUUUUAUCAAAUGCCCCCUAAGUUAUUGUACUCCAAAUUGACACGCUAUGAUUAAUGCAUAUGGAAACUAUGGUCACAAUCGGCCAUAAAUUUCUUCUUAUAUCCACGUUCUUGAAGUAAAUGGCCUUCCCCUUCAAACCUUUCUAUUUUUUUUUGCAAGUGUAUUAUUAUUAUUAGUUUGUAUCAGUGGUGGAGCCAGAAAAAGUUUGGGCAAAAGUAACACUAAAAUUUUUUUCCUACUCUUUUGUUAGUUUUUUAAGUAAAAAUAUUCACCAAUAAGUUAAAAUGAAAAAAAAAUUUUGAACUUAUUUCAAAUGAAAUUUUGUGAUCCACAUAUUCUUUUAGAAUAUUAGUUCAUGAACCAAUUUAAAAGAUCAUGUAAUUCUUUCAUUUAUUUCAUAAAAAAACUUUAGAGGCACAUUUAAGAUAAUAUCAAAAUUUUAUGCAUAUUGUAGGAAUUUAAGGAGGAGCAGUGGGGGCCCGUGCCCCCACCUUAAAUCCGCCAGUGGUUUGUAUCCUAUUAAGUGAAACUGGGUAUAUCUCGGAUGAUGGGCUUAAUAAUUGUGAGAGCAAUUGCUGAGGGCAAUUAAUGAUAAAAAUUCCAGUAUUUUGAUAUUGAAUGGUAAAAUUGGAAUUUGAAGAAAAUUUGAUUAUGUAGUAGUUCAAUAAAUGGAUAACUUAAAAUACAUUUACUAGAGGAAAGGGUACACAGGAAAAGAAAAAUAAUAAUAAUCUAUGGUAGUCAUUUGAAGUUAUGUUAAGUUCAUCAAUAGAGCGUGUUUUGUUGGAAAGUAUUGGUUAUUUGCUGCUAUUAGUAAGUUUUAUUAGGCUUCAAGUGUAAGCGCGCGUGUUUCUGUGUGUGUGUGUGUGUGUUUUUUUUUCUUUUUGGAGAGGUUAGUAUCUUUUUACCCUUGUUUUGAGGGUCAAAGAGGAAUACUUAAAGUUGCAAAAAAUGUUCAAACCUCUAAAAACUAUGUGUAGAAAUAGAUUUUCUAAAAACUAUGUGUAGAGAUAGAUUUUCUAAAAACUAUGUGCAGAGAUAGAUUUUUUUUUUUACAAUUUUAAUAUCUGCAUUUAUUAUUUUAAUAUUACUAUUUUAUAAUCUCUAUUGCCUUGUGCAAUUUACAUUUGGCACUAACAAUUGUUGAGGUCAAAUAUUAAAACAAGAGUAAAUUUUAUAUACACUGACAGUGUAUACACUAUCACCAUUAGAUUCCAUGAUAUGCGUCCAAAAAGUUGAAUUUCAAAUUUAAAUUUGCAUAAUUGUCAUUCAUCUAACGCUGACAGUAUAUACACUGUCAGUGUAGGAAAGAUUAAUCCUUAAAACAAUACCAGGCCAAUUAUUAGGAUGGAAGGACUACCGUCAAUAAAAAAAAAUGUAGCCAUUAUACUGUCAAUAAAAAAAAAUUUAGCCAUUGUCAAAUACUGUUGAAUAAUCGGACUUUAACUCAUUGGUCAAGUUUAAAUUUCUUUGACAUAAAUAUCCAUUAAUGUACGUUUGACAAGAUCAAAUUUCAAUGUCAACGACCACGGAAAAUCUCCAUACUGGCGAUCUGAUCGGCGUUAUGGGAAAAAAAGCGGCGGAUCAACUGUUCACAUGGUUGUAUACAGUCAGGGUGGUCAACCGUUGACGCCUUAUCCUGGUGCAUUUGCGCUUUUUAAUUGAAAAUAAUACUAACAAAUAAUGCUAAUUAGUUUAUACCAAUUUAGGAAUAACUAAGAUGCAUUAUUACCUUUUCACAAAAGAAAAAGAAAAAGCCUAAGACGCAUCACCCAGUUAGUUUUUAUAUGAGUGCAUCUGUAUUUACUUUGAAGUAUAUGGUUUUUGAAAGUAUUCUUUUUCAAGCUCAAGACUCAUGGUUUUUUUUUUUUGCAUGAGAAAAGAGAAAUAAAGGUUUGGUAUUACUCGGGCAAGUCAGUUUGAUUUCCUUGACUGUGAGAUUACGUCUCCUUUUUUGACUUAAUUUUUCCUACCAUUAUCUUCCAACCAUGUUCUGAAAUAGUCUGUUUUAUGUUCCAAUGUCCGCCGUUGGUAUCUAUAUUUAGCCAUGAAGGUAGAACCCAUAAGAACUUCACUGAUGAAGGUAAAUAUUAGGACGAUUCUGGUAGCUUAAAUGCCUUUAGGGUGCAACAAGAUUUGAGGGGAAAGAUAAUUGGAUUUAAGCUAUGACAAGAAUUGUGAGAUUGUUUGUAGUAUUGCUACGGCAAAAAUGGCCCCUGGAUUUGGAUUAAAAUGAUGUAGAAUAACUAUCGACAUAAUUAGACCAAAUUUCUGAAAGUUAAUAUUUUCUAUUCUGAUUUUGAAGUUUUUAUUCUAAUCUAAUUUCUGGUAAUUUAACUAUUUAGGAAAUUAAGCGGUUAUUUGGUAGUUUAUUUCCUGCUUGUUUCUUGUUUUCAAAUUUUUGUUAUUGUAUUUAGUUGCAAAGAGUGUGAGGCAAAAGAGAGACUAGUGAAUGCUACACGAGGUCCUCGGUUCGACUCUCGUUGUGAGCGCCAAGUUCAACAGUUCGGGCCAGGCCUUACUCCUGAGCAAGAGUCAGACUCUGCGGGCGCAAUCCGGGCCGAAUUCGGAUUAGUUGGAGCAGUGGCUCCGGAUACCGGGUGGUUUGACCAAAAAAAAAAAAAAAGAGUCUAGGGAAAGUUUGCGUAUUGUAAAGGCAAUUUUGUUUAGAUUAUAAAAGUUAGAUCAAUACGUACUUUUAUGUACUAAACCUAUUCUACCUUUUCUUCUUUUGUAAAACGAAGGCCACUGUCUAGAAGGAAAUUUAGCACUUGGACAGAAGCUCCCAGAUUCUCAUCAAAACCGAAGGAAACAGCAGACGGCAGAGACAAAAUCAGAAUGAAAUCAGUUAACCAAAAGAUUGGAAUCAAUUAAUAAGCCUGUUUUGGUAUAAUUUUGAAGAGCCAAACGAGGUCCAAAUGUUUCAGUAAAUUCGUAUCAUUUUGGUUCUUCAGCAAAAUUUACACAUAAUAAAAAGUUUCCUUUUGGAAGUAAAAUAUGCUAGAUACCAAAUUUACACAAUAUUUGUCAAAUUAGAUUCACGGAAAUCAGUGAGCUGAGCAUCGGGUUUCAUAGGUCUCGUCACACGAGUGCAUAAAAUGACGGAUGAUCUUGCACAAAAAGGGAACAAGGAAAUCUGGAAGUGUUUAAUUAAUAGGGCAUGAAAAUCGUGCAUUAGUUAUUUAUUUAAUAGGACAUACGUACUUUUUUUCCCCAAGAUUUCCAUAUUAUUUAUGAAAAUUAACGAGCUCCGCCCCACCAUUUAUAGGCCAGGGAGGUAAUAUUUAGACAUGGGAUUCAAGAAAACAAAGUACAACAGUUGAACUAGUCUUGCAUGGACAUAAUUAAAGUCCACCACCACCACCUCCUCCGAAUCCUCCACCGCCUCCAACGCCUCCACCUGCUCCAACUCCACCACCAAAUCCACCACCUUGUCCAAAACCUCCUCCGAGGCCUCCUCCUCCACCUCCACCUCCACCUCCACCACCACCACAUCCAACGCCACCACCUGCUCCAAAACCUUCUCCUCCACCAACUCCGCCACUUGCACCUGCGCCGACACCGCCUCCAGCUCCAAACCCACUGCCACCACCAACUCCUCCGACUCCAAAUAACCCUCGUCCUUCCCUUCCCCUACCACUACAACCCCUCCUACCAAUUCCACAACCAUCUUCCUUCAAUUCUUUGUUAAGCUUGCCAUCACCAAGAGUUGUUACACUCAACUCUAACACAAUGCUCAAGAGAAGAAGAAACACAAAGACACAUUUUUUCGAAGAAGAACCCAUAUUGCUAACAAGGUUCACACUUCGCAGUUCAAUUUGGUGUGCUCUAUUGCACCCCAAGAUUUGGCAUUUAUAUAGGCUUCAUGUGACAGCCCCACCUCCCCCUAAGGCAAACCAAAGGGUUCGGCGGACCGCCUGCCCAGCUCUCGUCGGGACUUACUCACUCACUACAUUCCUCAAUAAAAUAUAAGGCACAACUCAAAUAAUACAUCAAAUUCUCCAAAAAUUACAUAUCAUAAGCGAAGCGAAAACUAAUUCUAAACGUGGAACGUAUAUAUACAACCAAUUCAAUUCCAAAUAUUUAUACAGGCCCACAAUUACACAAGGUGAAUCAUCACAUCCAAUAACCUAUGGUACAAUCUCAAUAAUAAACAAAAUAAUAUUUUUCCCCAAGUUCCACGAAUAUAUAAACCACAAGUGAAUCAAAAGCGAAAUAUACAUGAAAUAAUCUUCCAGAUACGUUAACUUAUUACACGUGCUUCCUUUGCCUCGAUCCCUAUGGAGAGAAGAAAACAUUUGGAGGUGAGCUAGAAACUCAGCGAGUGUCCAGUAAAAUCAAUAAUUAAGUAUAUUUCACAAUAAAGCAUUUAGAUGAUGUCAUGAUGCAGUAAUCAAAUGUACAUUUAUUGCUCGUGUGAGCCGGUGAAGUUCUUGUACUUAAAUAUCCAACGCUCAUUUAGAUCAGGUAACAGAUAAACAGAAAUAAGGAGCCAUCGUGCUCCAAAGAAUGUGUAAACCGUAGUGGAGACGUUGGUUCUAAACACAAGAUUUUUUCAAAAACUCAUUGGAGCCAAAUUAUGUCAUAGCACACACACAUACACAAAUGAUAUGCAAUCAAACAACCAAUGCAAGCAAUUGAGGAACCAGUGCAAGAAUUAGCAAGAAUUAGUUCAAAAGUAACUUUGGAAGUAGUUGAGGGAUCACUCACCAACCACGGCUCAGGAACCAUCCAUCAUAUAUCGUUGCCUUGCUCAAGUCCAAACCCUUCAACUCAAACUCAAAGCAAUCAAAUGCUUUCAAAGAUCGGACAGCAUAUACCCUUAAUUUCCUUACUUUUCCAUCCUACAAGCAACACCAAUUCAUCUCAAAUCAACCACAUACACAUCAUAGACUAUCAAAUACACCUUUCGACACAAUAUCCAUAACUGAAGCUAUACUUAUCGGAUUGAAACGAAUCUUAUGGCGUUUCGAAACCAAGACAUAACCCUACAUUUCUUAUGAAGACCUCCAAAGCCAAAUCAUGCAUUUUCAGAGUCAAAAAAAUGGAAAACUCCACGAAAACAGAAAUCUGGGCGCGAAACAGGGCUCAUGGGCAGUCAAGGGUAUUUCUGUCAUUUCAUAUGCUACAGUGCUCCGAUUGAGUUGAAAUUUUACAGAUAGCUAGCUAACUCAAUUACCAACAACUUUCAUGUUUUGGGCAAAGGCUGAUUCUGCCUCAAUCAUGGCCUAACAGGUUCGGACAGAACAGGGUAGGAUGAAACCCUAAACUGAAAAUUCCGCAUAAACUCUGAAAUUUUCUGCAACUAAUCAUAUCCAACAUAUACCAAUCUCCAUUUUACACUAUAACAGGCCAUCAAUCCAUGACUAAACAAUAAUUAUGAUAUAAAAACAGAAAAAUCACUAAUCAAUCAAAAAUUCAUCAAAACUCCACUUUCAACCAUAAAAUCUACCACAAAUCAACAUAUUUAGCCACUAAGCCACUAAUUUGACAUUAGCAAGAACAAAGAGAAAGUUUGUAAACAAAGUACCUAAACACCUCAAGAAAGAUGAUAACUUAGGAUUUUCCUUUCACAAAUCCCUCCACUAGAAGCUUUAAUCCUCCUUAAUAAACAACUUUGAUGGAGUAAUUUGAUAAUUCAACGGUUGAAACUCAAGAUUUGAGCAAGAAUUGAAGUUGAAGUUGAAGAAACUCUCUCUUGUUCUUUCCUCUCCAUAAAUUUCGGCCAGGACAAUGAAAAUGGAAAGAAAUUGGGUCAAAAUUUGGUUUAGUAAAGGUUAAGACAAGUCCAAGUCAAAGUCAAGGUCCAAUGUUUCAAGGACAAAUGGCAUCCAAGGGUUAAUCCUCAUUUUGUUGUCUUCCAAUGGUUAAUCCCUCCAAGUAACCUCUAAUUAUUUCCUAACACCUUGUAAAAUAAUAUUACUUAAUACAAAACUCCAACAAGUUGUCAAAAAUAUAUCGCAUUUACCGCACUAGCGGGUCCCACGUCCAUAAUACACUUCAAACUUAACGUGGACUAACUUGUAUCAAGGAAAUGAUUUGAAAACUAUAUUCCCUUAUAAAAAUGUAUAGGAAAUUAAUAUAUUGAAAAAAGGUAUAAAAUUAUAGACAAGAAAACAAAAUAAUGUCUAGAAAAUAUAUAAAAUUUUUUAGUUUUCACACUCAUUCUUUCGGGGCGUCACACUUCACCUUACUAGCGAAAGUGCCAAGAUUGUCAAAUCACCGUUAAUGUAAGCAUUAGAAAUUCUUACUCAACGCGUCACAGCCAUUGGGGAGAUAUGGCGGGAGCCAUUAAUUAAUGAAGUGACUAUCAAAGUCAAUCUCUGAUGCAUCUUUGGAGCAUAUUUUCAAACCUGUUGACAAAAAAAAAAAAUAUUACUGAGUCGCUGUUUCUCAUGCAUUCAAGUUUAAGAAUGCAACUUCUUGUUUUUUACAGACAUAAUUUGCAUAUUACCUUUCAAAUUGCGCAAGUUAAUUUCAACCCACUUGGCACAAAUAUUUAGAGCUUUGCUUGCAUAGCAACCAAAUUUGUUAGUGUUGAGAUGCCUUGAAUUAGAUCUUCGACCUUCGCUGAGCUUACGGUAAAUAUUAGUUACCGUAUCUGUUUUAUUUUGGGUCUUGUUUUGGGCCUAUUUUUGGUCCAGUCCGUUUGGUUGUAUAUAUAUACACCUUAUUUUAGUCUGUAAACUAUUCCGAUUACAACCCUAAUAAAAUCUGAUUUCCUCCAAGUUGUUCUUGUCUGUUCUUGUUUAUUUUUCUGUUCCGCUGCAUCUGUUAUAACAAACUGGUAUCAGAGCUCUAGGUUCGUCCUAGGGCUCGGAUCACGCAAUAACGAGUCUGCUUUGAACAUCAAGAUCGACAAGUUCACCAGAGAAAUAGUUUUAGUCUGUGGCAGAUCAAGAUGCGGGCUCUGUUAAAGCAACAGGGUCUGUGGAGUCCGCUGACGAAGAAGAAAUCGGAUUCCGUUGAUGAAGAGUCGAUGAGUCUAGAGGAAAAGGCUCACUCGACAAUCAUGCUGUGCCUGGCAGAUGAUGUCAUCACUAAGGUCGCCGGUGAAGAAAUUGCUGUGGGUUAAACUUGAGAGUCUCUAUAUGACGAAGUUUUUAGCCAACAAGUUGCUCCUAAAGCAACGUCUGUUCAGUCUGCGUAUGCAGGAAGGUACUCCUCUUCGAGAACAUUUAAAUCAAUUAAAUACGAUUCUUCUUGAGUUGCAUAAUAUUGAUGUUAAAAUUGAGGAUGAGGAUACCGCGUUGAUUCUGUUAGUGUCUCUACCGUUAUCGUAUGAGAAUUUUGUUCAGUCUUUCAUUGGCGGUAAAGAUACAGUGACUUUAGAAGAAAUAAGAUCAGCACUGCAUAGUAGAGAGUUGCGCCAUAAGGCGGCUGAUAAGGUUACAGAUAAUCAGGCUGCUGGGCUAGUUGUCAGCAGUGGUAAAGGAAAAUUUUGGAAAAAGAAAUCCGAAAACAAGAAGCAGUUCUCUAAAGGUCCCAAGCCGGAUGAUGUCUGUAACUACUGCAAGAAAAAGGGUCAUUGGAAAUCUAAUUGUCCUAAGAAGAAGAAGCAGCAGGAAAAACAACACGCUUCAGCUUCAGUUGCUGAAAAGGAAGCGAAAAAUUCAGAAGAAGACCUGGCACUAAUUGCAAACGAACCAACACAUCACUCUGAUGUGUGGGUUCUUGAUUUUGGGGCGUCCUAUCACAUAUGUCCAAACAAGGAAUGGUUUACAACAUAUGAACAGAUAGAUGGCGAAAAUAUCGUGAUGGCUAAUAGCGCUGUUUGCAAGGCUGUUGGAAUCGGUUCGAUUAAGAUCAGGACACAUGCUGGGAGAAUUGUCACACUGAACGAAGUCAGGCACGUUCCCAAAAUGACGAAGAAUCUGAUAUCACUUAGUACUCUUGACAGUAAAGGUUUCAGGUUCAGCGGAGGAAGUGGAAAGUUGUGCAUCAGUAAAGGUUCAUUAGUGGUUCUCAAAGGAGUUAAGCAUGGCACCCUGUACAUCUUACAGGGUUCUACGCUAACAGGUUCUGCCGCUGCUGCUGUUGCAUCUUCUGAAGAUCGUAGGUCUGAUAUGACCAAGAUGUGACACAUUAGGCUUGGUCAUAUGAGCGAAAGGGGGAUGCAGGUUCUGUCUAAACGUGAUCUUCUAGAAGGCCACAAGGUCACUGAUCUUGGAUUCUGUGAACAUUGUACUUUCGGUAAACUACAUCGCAGAAAGUUUGGGAAGGCAAUUCACAAGACAAAAGGCACACUUGAUUACAUCCAUUCUGACUGUUGGGGUCCUUCACUAGUUGAGUCUUUGGGAGGUUGUCGGUAUUUUUUAUCCAUGAUUGAUGAUUAUUCAAGGAUGACUUGGAUAAUCGUUAUGAAGGAAAAAGGUGAAGCUUUCAAGAACUUCAAGCAGUGGAAGGCCUUAGUGGAGAAUCAAACUGGAAAGAAGAUCAAAAGGCUGCGAACUGAUAAUGGUCUGGAAUUUUGUUCAAAGGAGUUUGAUGAGUUCUGCAAAGAUGAAGAAAUUGCUCGGCAUCACACAGUUCGACACACACCACAACAAAACGGUGUAGCAGAACGCAUGAAUCAGACAUUUCUAGAGAGAGCACGGUGUAUGCUCUUCAAUGCUGGGUUGCCAAGGAGGUUCUGGGCAGAAGCAGUGAGCACAACCUACUUCUUGAUCAAUCGUGCACCUCAUACAGGUAUAGACUGCAAGAUACCUUAUGAAGUGUGGUCUGAUAUGUCCCCUUCCUACUCAAGUUUGAAAGCUUUUGGUUGUACUGCGUAUUAUUAUGUCAGUGAGGGCAAACUAGAACCAAGAGCUAAAAAGGGAGUGUUUCUGGGAUACGGAGAUGGGGUUAAAGGGUAUAGAAUCUGGUCACCCUCAGAAAAGAAAGUUAUACUUAGCAGAAGUGUAAUUUUUUAUGAAAACUCCAUACUUAACCCCCUUGUAAAGACUGUUGUUGAAGAAAGUGUAGGUGUUGAUAAGCAGGUGGAGUUACAAAUCAUUCAAAAUGGUUUUGAAUCACAACAGCAAUUUGAUGAUCAUCAACAGCUAUCCUUUGAAACUGAACCUCUUGCAGAAGUAGAGUCCCCAGAACCUACAUCAGCAGAAAGGUCGGCACCUAUAUCCCAUACUGCGUUAGAAACUCAACAGCACGGUAUUGCUUAUGAUCGUGCGAGGAGAGUGGGAGUACGACCUCCCAGCAGAUAUCGGGAUUUUGUAAGUUAUGCAUUUCAGGUUGCUGAGGAGGUGGAUUCUCCUGAGCCCUCUACCUAUAGAGAAGCUAUUUCAGGCAGUGAGUCAGCUCAAUGGCUUACUGCAAUGGGUGAUGAAAUGGAGUCAUUACACAAGAAUGACACUUGGAAAUUAGUUAAACGGCCAGUAGAGAGAAAGGUUGUGACUUGCAAAUGGGUCUUUAAAAGGAAGGAAGGAAUUCUCCAGUUGAGAGCAUCAAGUAUAAAACACGUGUUGUUGCAAGAGGGUUCACUCAAAGAGAAGGAGUAGACUACAAUGAGAUUUUCUCACCAGUGGUCAGACACAUUUCAAUCAGGGUGCUACUAGCAAUGGUUGCACAUCAGGACUUAGAACUUGAGCAGCUAGACGUGAAGACAGCUUUCCUACAUGGAGAGUUAGAUGAAGAGAUUUAUAUGACUCAGCCAGAUAGAUUCCAUGUUCCAGGAAAAGAAGAUUAUGUAUGCAAGUUGAAGAAAUCCUUGUAUGGAUUAAAACAUUCCCCAAGAUAGUGGUACAAAAGAUUUGACGGCUACAUGAUUGAGCUCGGCUACAACAGAAGUCAGUAUGAUUGUUGUGUAUAUCACAACAAGCUUGAAGAUGGUUCGAUGAUCUACUUGAUUCUGUAUGUAGAUGAUAUGCUCAUAGCUGCGAGGAACAAAGCUGAUAUACAAAAGUUGAAAAAUCUUCUCAGUGCAGAGUUUGAGAUGAAAGACUUGGGUGUAGCACAGAAAAUUUUGGGAAUGGAGAUUUUCAGGGAUAGAAGUCACAAGAAGCUUUUCUUAUCACAGAAGAGAUAUAUUGAGAAGGUACUAUCCAAAUUUGGCAUGUCUACAGCAAAGCCCUUGAAUACUCCGAGUGCAGCGAAUACUCAACUAUCAGUUACACUCGCACCACAGUCAGAAGCCGAGAUAGAGUAUAUGGUUAAGGUUCCUUAUUCUAGUGCAGUGGGCAGUUUGAUGUAUGCCAUGGUCUGCACUAGACCUGAUCUGGCACAUGCAGUCAGUGUUAUUAACAAAUUUAUGGCUAAUCCUGGGAAAGAGCACUGGCUGGCCGUGAAGCGAAUUUUUCGGUACUUGAGAGGUACAUCUGAUGUUGGUCUCAUCUAUGGAGGUGAUACAGAGUGUUUGGUUACAGGCUAUUCAGAUUCUGAUUAUGCUGGAGAUGUUGAUGAUAGGAGGUCGAUGACUGGUUAUGUUUUCACUUUUGGACAUUCUGUAGUUAGUUGAAAAGCAACUCUACAACCUACAGUGACUCUGUCUACUACUGAAACAGAGUAUAUGGCACUAACAGAGGCUGCUAAAGAGGGAAUUUGGUUAAAAGGACUAGUUGGAGAUCUUGGCCUACAUCAGGAUCAGACUAAUAUAUAUUGUGAUAGUUUCAGUGCAAUAUGUCUAGCCAAGGAUCAAGUCCAUCAUGAGAGGACUAAACACAUUGAUGUCCGAUAUCAUUUUCUAAGAUCUGAGACAAGGAUCAAGGUGAAGAAAAUUGGCACGGCUGACAAUCCUGCUGAUAUGUUCACCAAGUCGGUUCCUCAUAGUAAGUUCAAACAUUGUUUGGACUUGCUAAAUGUCCUGAGUUUCUGAUAGCCCUUAUGGGCAUCCUGAUGGUACUUAGAGAUAAUUCUCUGAGUACAUCUGGCACUUCAUUAGUGCGUCUGUUACAUCUUUUUCGGGGAAGAUUCAAGUCAAGGUGAAGAUUUGUUGAGAUGCCUUGAAUUAGAUCUUCGACCUUCGUUGAGCUGAUCGGGGGUCUCGCUGCUCGGUCAGCGAGUCGGGGGUCCAAGGGGCGACGCGCCUCGGCUAGGGGGCCCGGGGGGCAGCGUUGCCCCCAGUGGGGGUUUGGGGGCAACACCCCCGAAGCUUACGGUAUAUAUUAGUUACCGUAUCUGUUUUAUUUCGGGUCUUGUUUUGGAUCUAUUUUUGGGUCCAGUCCAUUUGGUUGUAUAUAUAUACACCUUAUUUUAGUCUGUAAACUAUUUCGAUUACAACCCUAAUAAAAUCUGAUUUCUCCCAAGUGGUUCUUGUCUGUUCUUGUUUGUUCUUCUGUUCCGUUGCAUCUGCUAUAACAGUUAGCCACCUGCAUAUUUGCUUGAGAUGGACUCAUGAUAAGCCAUGACAUCAAGUAUUUUUACCAUGCUACAACGUGCAAGUAGUAAUAUUUUUUUUCCCUUUUCUUGCUCUUGUCCUUGGCGCUGAGAUCAUUGAGAAGGUAGCAGUCUUUGCAUAGAGUCAUACAUUGCUGAUUACAACUCCAUUGUUGAACAACGAUGCAUUACGUGUCUUGUGACGACUAGGGAUGGCCAAAAUGGCCCGUAUUUCUGGUUGAGAUUUUCUGACACGAUUUCACUAUUUUGUUCAAUUUUGGCAACAUCUCCAAUUAUAUAUCCAAACUUGUCUUGCAAAAUAAUAGAAAGAAUGGCCAUGACACACAACAUUCUUGUUGGUUAAGACACUUUUUUUUUUUUUGCUUUUUGGGGGAUUUUGACAUAUGAUAAUCUAGAGCUAUCACUUUGGCAUCAUUUUUUUUUUCAAACGUACUUUUUAAUUGGAUUACAAACUUUGCAGGGGUUGUGCUAAUAAUUUUUUUCUUUACAAAGUGAAUUUUCUAUAACUCUCGGAGUUGUAAUUUCACGUAAAAUUGUCCCUUAGACAACAAUUAUAGUUGUGGAAACCAACUUACGCAAUUUUAAGUUGUAAAAGAUGUUACUCUAGACGGCUAAAAUGGCUCAAGUAGUCAAAGAGAUUAAAGACAACUACUAGUUGAGAACGAAGUUCUGAACUUGUGAUUCGGGGAGGUUUUUGGUUUAUAAAGUCAAUUGAAAGUGAUUGAAGGAAAUGGCAUUAACAUUAUUACAUAGAAAAGCAUGGAUUCGUCAAAAUUGUGUGUGUGUGAAGAUUUACGUGUAUUGAGAGAUGUUGUAAACUAUUAUCCUGUUAUCCAUGAUUAUUAUAUAAGUAGAAUUUCUUCGUAACAUUUAUUAAAGAUAUAUCUUACAACUAGUUUAGUUUACAUUAACUCAGUCUUAAAGGCGAAGAAAAAUGUCUUUCUUUCCCAUUGGAUAAUAAGCUCAUUGAAGUCAACUAACCAGUAUUUGUUUGACCUUAAUUUUGGGCAUGGUGACUAUAUAUAGUCUAUAGAACCAGUGAUCAAUUGGCAGUCUUUAUUUGACAUUUUGGAUAUAGAAUCAUUUGUCAAUUACUUUUGAAAAAGUAAUCAUCCAGCAUCAUCAACUUGAAGCAUGGCUGCGAAAUCUCCUACAUCUCUUAUUUUGACAAUAGUCGGCAGAAAAUUCCAAUAAGAUAUUGAAAAAUGAAAAAAAAAAACCUCAAGUGUUUCCUUUAGUUCAUAGUUUUGCAGUAACUCGUUCAUUAAAGUUGGUAAUCUAUUUGGACUACAGUUGCAUCUGCAAUUUUCGAAUCUUAUGAGAUCAUGAGACUGUUUACUUUUCAAUAUUUGAGCUAAGAGAUGGCAGAGUAAGCAAUCUAAUUCAUUGCCUACUCUAAGUUUCGUAUCGUACCUAGUGCAUCUAAUUAUCAUCUGCUAACUAUUACAACAGCCAUACACUGGUGACGGUAAGACUGAAACUUCCAACAUGCAACAUAAAAACACUUGAAUAAUGAGAAAUGUUAUAAAGAUCUACCUCUUUUGUAAAUGCAGCUUAUGAUUGGAUUAAUCUUCUUACAAGUAACACAUUGUGAAAAUUUAAGUGACAGCACACAGACUUCGCUUGGAAUUCUUAUGCUUCUCUAAGAAAAUCAUAAUAUUUCAACAUUUUCAUCUCCAAACAAAGUAAACAUAUUAAAUCUUGGCUUUGAGUAUUUUGAAAAUGUACAAGUUUAAACUCAAGUCUUCUACUUGAUACUGUUGCUGAUGGAAUUGAUUCAUGACAGUUGGCAGAGUUGCAGAAAACUGGAGAUGCAAACUGGGCUUGGUCACGUUCCAUUGGGACUCCCACAAGUUUAUGCCUAGCUAACUAUUGGACAACUUUGGCUUCAUAAGAUAAAAAUGCCUUAUCCAUUUUUAGAUUAGUAUAGACGGGUCUGGAUCAAGUCCGAGUAAAUAGAAUUAUAACUAUAUCUGUAUCCAAAAAUAUUGAGCGAGUUCAAGUUGGUUCGUGAUCAAAACCUGGUCCGUUGACAGUGCCUAAAGGUAACUAAGGGGAGUGCCAGUUGGGAUCAAGGAGAGGGGAGAAGAAAUGAGUGGCAAGGUAUAGCAAACAGGGUGGCCAGUUAGGGUGCGGAGGGGAGGAGUUGCUGCUAGCUUGAUGUUGGUGGAAGAAAGGGAAACGUGAUUUGAACUCUAGGCAGGGUCAAGGAGGGGAAAGGAAAGAAAGUGGCGGCAGGCAAUGGUUGGUCGGAAUGGCGAGGAAGAGGAAGGGUGUCAAUGCUUAACAACUACUCAAAAAACUGAAAAAACACUCCAAAAAUAUAUAUAUAAAGCUAUUUUUAGCUAAUAAAGCCUAUGGUAAAAUAUUUUAGAAACACUUAAUCCAAGCACAGCCUGAAAUUUUACAAUUCUCUACUGCACCCCUUAAUUUUCUCGAGUUUUGUUCAUUUUCUACAUUGCGCCUUAGAGAACUAAAUCCCUUUUUCCUUUUAACUAAAUCUUUUACCUUUAUUCUGUUAAAAAUUUAUAACGUCACUACAUCAAUAAGUAAAAUCUGAAUAAACUUUAACUUUAGUGAACUAAAAAUUGUUAGACCCGAUCAAGUAGCGAUGUUGAUUAGAGAAAAAGUGCUUUAGCUCGUUUAAACAAUUCGGCUAGUCAAAAUUUUAUUUUUACACUCUGCCAUUACCUAGUUAUACCCAUUAAGUGUUUGAAACUUCAACCAUUUGGACGUAUUUGACAUGGACAAGUAUUGUUGCAUGGAUCAAGGAACGGGUGACUACAGGACAAUAGAGUAUAAAUACUAAUAUAAUAAAUGUAAACAGUAAUAUGGUAAAUGUAGACACUAAUAUAUUAAGAUUAAAAAUUACAACAAAUUUUUAGACUCAAAUUUUAAUGAGAGAGAAAAUCUAUUGUGCUUUUACCUAUUUUUGUAUUAAUAUUUACAUCUAUUAUUUAAUAUCUACAUUUAUUUUUAGAGUAACUUUUAUAUACAUUGUUAAGGCAUGCACUAUUACGGUUGGAUGGAUGACACAGGAACAAAUUUUACACAUAUAUCGUAUAUUUAAUGGUGAUAGUGUAUAUACUCACAGUGUGUAUAAAAUUAAUCCUUAUUUUUAUGGUGUCUACAUUGCACUCUUCUGCCAUUACUAAUUUUUAUUGCGUCUACAUUCAUUUUUGUACUGCAUAUGACAAUAUACACCCCUAAUCCUUAUUGCAUGAUACAAUAAUUAAUGGUUUCUAUCAUCAUGGUUUACUAAGAGCACAAAAUAACUACACUAAUUAAAUAAAAGUUGGGGGAUUCACUAUGAAAAAUUCACAAUUUCCGUUUACUUCCCACAAGUAAAUAAAAUUUACUCUUUUGUAACGACGGUGACAUCGAACCACUUCUUAUGACAAAGAUCCUCUGUCACAGGGGAACAUAAUAUAGCAACCUAUGGACUAUUCUUAAGAUGAAAACGACUGGCAUGUAGUAAUAUAGUCCAAAGAUUACUAUUAGUUGAAACUUUUCAAGGUAAUUAACUAUUCCACAGUCUUUGACGAUCGACUUAAGAACUAAAUAUCUAUUUUGACACCCAUGGAGAAAAAGAAACUUCUGUGCCGAUCGUCUAGCUAAAAUGAGUCUCAACGUGCCAAACAGGUGUUCCAAAGUUCAGGGGAACCACUAGCAUCUCUUAAAGGAUCAAUUUUUUUUAGGGAUAAUUUCAGAAACCUCCCCUGAGGUUUCUGACAUUUGCACUAACCUCCCCUGUGGUUUGAACAAUUACACUGACCUCCCUUGAGGUUACUAAUCCUUUAUAAAUUUAGUCCAAAUGAUUAAAAUAUUGUUUUAGAGAGUGAAAUUAGAAUUUUGUACCUGAUUUGUCCUUUGUGCUACAUGUCCAAUGAAUGACAAAGUAUUACAAAUUAAUUAAUAAUUAAUAAACUUUAAGGAGCGUAAUUUAUAGGCAAAUACAUAUUACUUAUUUAAAGUACCAACUCUUUACGAGUAUUUUACUUUCAAACAUUUACUUUAUUACAAAUAUUUAUUCUCAAAUACAGAUUUGUAUUUACUCUCAAAUAUUUAAUUUUUGUUAAAUACAAAACCUACCAGUUUUUCUUCCAUAGAAAUAUUAAUAUAACACUUUUUCAAUUUUAGUUAUAAAUAUUUAUGUAUUUAACAUAAAUUAAAUAAUUCAGGAUAAAAUACUCAUAAAGAGCUAAUACUUUACUCAUGUAAUGGAUGAAAACCAUAAAAAAUUAAUACUUUAUGGGUCAUUUCUUUUUAAAAAAAAUAUUUAAUUUAUAUCAAAUAGAUAACCUACUGAUUUUCUUUUUGCGAGAAUAUUAUUGUAACACUUUUUAAUACAAACGUUAAUAUAUUUAUCAUAAAUUAAAUAUUUGAAAAUAAAAUAUCUGUAAAGAGCGGAUACUUUAAAUAGGUUAUGUGUAUUUGCCUAUAAACUACACUCCUUACUUAAAUCAAUAAACUACAUUCCUUACUUAAAUUAAUAAACUACACUCCUUAACUUAAAUCAAUAAACUAUACUCCUUACUUUAAAGAGUAUAGUUUAUAGGCAAAUACACAUAAUCUAUUUAAAGUACCGACUCUUUACGGAUAUUUUAUUUUCAAAUAUUUAAUUUAUGAUAAAUGUAUUAACGUUUGUAAUUAAAAAUUAAAAAGUGUUAUUCAGAAAGAAAAGUAUCCAAGGCUUCCAAGCAUACGUUACAUUCAAAAGUAACAUUUCUUUGAUAAUACAUUUAGAUGCAAUUUUAGCAUUACAAAAAUUUGAAAAAUGUUAUUUGUACUCCAUUGUUUGUUAUUUGCAGUCUCAUUAUUUAUUUUAUCAUAUAAAUUAAUAUAUGAAAACUAUAUAAUUAAAAUAAUAAUAAAAGUAUGAUUAACAAAAAUAGAAAUGCAAAUAACGUUUUCCUAGAAAUUGUUCGUAAGGAAACUCUUAUUAUACAUAUCAAUUGUCUAUACGUUCCACUUGCUUCUUAAAUCAUGGUUAAGAACUCUUAUUACCCACGCCAAAACCAUAGUUCUAUUGUUACAUAUUCCAUUCCUCUUUCUGGGCUCUUCUUUCCAUUUCCUACUCAAGUUUAGAAAGAAAACAAAGAGUAGUAGUGUGAGAUUUUUCUUUAUAUUACAAGAUUGUGCUGCCAUUUUCCAGUGGACUUUCAUAGUUCAAUCUGCAUGGAAUAAUUAAAUCUUGUAUAGAUACUGAAGAAAAUGGCAUUGCAUUGCAUUGCUUUAGUUGUAGUAAUGAUAUUACAAUUAAUCACGAGAACAUAUUGAUAGUACACUUUUUGCAGCUUAAGCAGAAAACAAAGAAAAGAAAAAAGGACAAAAAAGUAGCAGUCAUUUAGGUUUUAACAGCAGAAUGUGGGUUGAAACCUAUGUUUUCAGAACCGGACCGGAUAUCGACUCGGCCGAGGUCAGGGGUCAGGGGUCAAUGGGUUCGACCGGGGGUCGAUAGGGGUCGAACCGGAUGACGUCAUAAAUAAAAAUUAUUUAAAAAUUAAAUUAUUGUAUAUAAAAUAUCCAAUAAUAUAUUGAUAUUAAUAAAGGUAUAUUCAUAUAUAUUUGAUGUUUCAAAUAUAUUUAACAAGAAAAUACAAAGAAAUUAGAACAAUCAAGUAACAAUUUAUAUUAUUUAAUAAACAUUAACAAGAUUAGAAUUAAAAUUAUGGAUUUAAUUGAAAAAUAACAUCAAAUUUUAGGACAAUAUUUAUAAAGUAUGAAAUAUUUGAUGUAUAUUAAUAAGUUUUCACAAUUUAGGGGGUCAAAAUAUAAUAUUAAAAAAGUUUGAAUUUUUUUUGCAAAAGCUCCUGUUGGACCGGUUUUUCCGGUUCUGUACCGGUCAAACCCGGUCAAACCCGAGUUUUGACCGGAGUUGACCGGGUUUUGAAUUUCCCGGUUUUGAUGAUCAACUCGGACCGGACACACCACCGGUUCCCGGUUCAACCGGUCGGACCGGCCGGUCCGGUCCGAGUUUGAAAACACAGGCACUUGAAACUUUGAAUCUGCAUGGAUGGGUUUAUAAGCAGCAGCAUCUCUACUGUCCACCACCUCCUCCACCGCUGCCGGAACCACUACCAACACCAAUGCCCUUGCCAGCACCAGCACCAGCCCCUACGCCAAUGCCUACUCCAACCCCAACACCAAUUCCACCUCCAUGGCCACCUCCUAAACCACCACCUGCACCGCCUCCAGCUCCACCUCCUACACCUCCACCAGCUCCUAAACCACCACCAUGGCCUGAUCCUCCCCCUCUUCCUCCACCACCACCACCUCCAAAUCCUCCACCACCUCCAACUCCUCCACUUGCCCCACCUCCAACACCUCCUCCUGCACCGAAUCCACCACCGUGGCCAGAACCACCUCCAAUGCCGCCACCGCCUCCACCUCCACCUCCUCCUCCGCCGCCACCUCCACCUGCUCCUCCUCCAAUGCCACCCCCUACUGCACCUCCUGCUCCAGCACCUCCACCAAGUCCUCCAGCACCACCACCUACACCUCCACCAGCUCCAAACCCACCUCCAUGACCUGAACCACCUCCAACGCCACCGCCUCCACCACUACCCCCUCCUCCUCCUCCACCAGCACCACCACCAAGUCCUCCACCACCACCACCACCACCUCCAGCUCCAAAUCCACCACCAUGACCUGAACCUCCUCCAACACCACCACCUCCACCUCCUCCAAACCCUCCUCCUCCACCUACACCACCUCCUGCACCUCCACCAACACCACCUCCUGCUCCAAACCCUCCACCUUUACCUGCACCACCCCCAACUCCUCCACCACCAAAACCGCCACCUCCACCUACUCCACCUCCACCACCAAGACCUCCUCCAGCUCCUCCACCAAAACCUCCACCACCUCCACGUCCACCUCCAAAUCCAGGACCUCUUCCUCCUGGUCUUCCAAAUCCACCACGUCCACCACCAAAACAACCUCUCCUUCCAAAUCCACAAUCAUUACCUCCCCACCUCUCUUUUUCUAUCUUGCUAUCUCCAAAAGCAACUACACUCAAUUCUAACACCACACUCAAGAUAAGAAGAAGCACGCAAAACCAUUUUUGAGAAGAACCCAUAAUGCUUACAAGAAUUCAAACUUGCUUUGCUCUACUGGCCUUUAGACAUGGGUAUAUAUAGAGGCUUAAUUCCUUAAAGAUACUACCAAAAGUAGUAAGUUGGCAAUAGGGUUUUCAACUCUCACUACGUAAUUAAUGCAUGCUCUGUUGCAUGGCUUGUACGACGCGUUCGAGUUGUUGGGGAGAUAAGAGAAAUUGAGGCGGGAACAUUAAAUGAAGAUAUAUUCAAAGUCAAAUCCCAUAGGUCGCUUGUGCUUGUUUUCAAUUCCACCGACAAGGAUUUACUAAGUUAUUUUACUCCAAAUUGACACGCUACGAUUAAUGCAUAUGGAAACUGUGGUCACUGGGGCCAAUCGGCCAUAAAUUUCUUCUUAUAUCCAUGUUCUUGAAGUAAAUGGCCUUCCCCUUUAAACCUUUCUAUUUGUUUUUGCAAGUGUAUCCUUAUAUUUUAUUAUUUUAUACUAUAUAAGAACGAGUUUAGGACAAAGAUGGUUUUAGAUUUCAACCGCAAGUGUGGGGCUAUUUUGGGAAUGUUAGAGUGUUUGAAGUGUAAUUGGAGCAUUGAGUACAAGUCAUUACAACUUUAAUUUCACUAUAAUUACUUAUAUAACAUUUCAGACAUUUAAGGUUAGGUGCAGGUUUGAUAUGUUAUAAUAUUUGGUGCCAAGUUGAGUAUCAAGUACAACUGAAUUAAGCUUGUGUUUUGAUAGAAUUACAUAAAAGCCCUUUUAAUCAUUUAUUAUACUAACAUCCAAACCUUCCAAUUUCCUGAAAACCUUUCUCAUACGUUAAGGAAUUAAUUGGAUGUUUACAUAAUUGGAUUUUAAUUACAAUUAAUUAACUUAAUUGUUAUUUGAACAAUCAUUAUCAUAUUUAUGCCCCCAUGUUAAGCCGAUACCCUUUCUUCUUUUUCGGUUUCACCUCUUUGGUUUUAUUAUGGCUAUUAAAUAUUUGGUGGAAGGCAUAGGUUUUCCUUUAAAUUGAGGUGAGUUCUUUGGGUUAGUCUUCUUCGAAUGUAGUUUUUUUUUUCUGAUGAGUGGUUUAUUCAAGAACUCAAUAUAGUUUGCUUUUUGAUACUUCUAAUUCCAAAAACUGACUAAUUGUAUUAUUUUCCUUAGUAGAUCCUAGAGAUUCUGUCUCUGAUUUGAGAUAAUGUUGUCACUUUCUAAAAUAAUCAGAAAAGCAAUUUUAUCAUCUUUUUCUCCUCGGCCAAGGUAUUAUCUCUUUAUUUAAGUCAAAUAACUUUAUUUCUCAUGAACUUUCUCCUAUUAUUUUUGACUCCAGGGAUCUGUUGACUACAUUCCAGCAGUUAUGUUUUUACCAUAACUACCGCAAAGCAAACAAAUGUGUAGACAUGCUAGCGAAUUGGGGAAGAAGCAUCAAUGAAGACUCCACCUUUUUUUAAUCCUAUCCUGAUUUUGUCCUUCCCUUACUUUUGCAAGACUUAAAAGGGUGUCAUCAACACACGGAUGACUUUACUUUAACUAUUACUCUAUAGACUUUGACUUUGUUUUAAUGCAUCUUUAUUUUACUAAAAAAAAAAGACUUUCUUAUAUGUCGUGAUUCACCACCUACACAUACCGUCACAUACUAUAUAUCAUUCAAACUAAAUCAUGUAGAAGCAUGAUAUAUUUUGACAGUUCUCGAAAGAAAGGAGUUUGAAUUUCCAGAAUUCCCGAUGUCUUGUUGUUACCAAGUAGCUAGGAAUCCAAAUUCCCAAGUGGAAAAAAAAAGAAAAAAGAAAAGGGUAUGAUCCGACAAUUACCAUGAAGAAACCCCAACCUUGACAUCUUCUUCUAAGGUCUCAGAUUGCUUGAAAACGCUAAUCAGUAUUGUUGAAACUAAGGUAUGAAAAAUCGAUGAAAGCGAUUGAAACUUGAGGGUUUGAGGCAAUAGGCAUAUGGGUGUCGGCUUUGCAAUAAGUAUAGCAAGAAGGGAUGGAGUUGAGGCCUGGUGAUUCUGCUGAUAGUUUAAUGCUUGACAAAUUUUUUGAUGGUUGAACAGAAUUAUUAUGGCAUUGUAUAUUAUGGAUAUAGUAUGGUUCAAGUAGUUAUUUUUUCAUGUAAUAUGAUUUGGAAUUCAUCUUGUGUUUAUUUUAACUGAGAAUUUUAUGAUUGUAAAAUUUAUUAACUUAGAAUUUUGUACUUCAUUGAAACUAAAAAAAAAAAUUAAUCAUGCUACAUAGUACUAAAAUGUCAUUUGCACUCUAUUUGCUUUCCCUGUUAUGAUCUCGUUCUUGUAUUCUAAUGUUUAUAUAGUUUCAAAUACAAAAAAUUUACUUUUUAUGCUAUCUAAAAGAAUUUGCAGUGGAACUUGAUGAGUUUAAAUGCUUUAGCUAUAGCACCAUUUUGAUUGCAUUGUAUGAAUUCAUUUACUCAUAAUUGUAUGUUGUACAAUGAUAAAUAAUGUUUCUUGAUUUGAUUGAAGCAACUAUUAUCUAUAGUUCAAACGAGUCAAUUAAGUAGAGUUGCUAUAUUGAAUACUCAUACAAGUAAACAUUAGAAAAUAUCAUUAAGCAGUUUCUACCUAUAGUUUGCAAUUCGAAUUCAUAUGAGGAAUUUCUUCUGAUUUUAGUUACCAUUUUCUACAAUUUCAAAUUUAGAACAUAUUAUUUGCACCAAUUUUUUAUAAUCAAGAUAGUUUCAAUUCAGAUCUUUAACAAUUAUGCAGAUUUGAACUUAUUUAUGAGAUUAUAAAGAAAUGCCCCUAGCAAAAAACACCAAAUCUGAAUAGUUUCUACAAAACUUUGAAAAAGACCACUUAAGUUUCUUAUCUAUCUAUCAUUUUUGGGCAUUAUUAUCUCUGUAAGAAACAUGUGAUUAAGUCGUAUUAUGCCCACCAAAUUAUAUAAAUAGUUAGUCUAAAAUAAAAUUAUUUUAGAUUAGAUUGGACGCAAAGUGAUUGAUGGAUAAACUUGACUUGAUAAUUCAGGUUGACCUUAAGUUGAGGGAGAAAUCAGAAGCAUUACUUAAGGGAUCUUUCACGAACAUAUAUAGAUUCGAGAGAUGAGGGGUCCAAUUGAUACUUUAAAAUGUUUUAUCAUCUUGGAUAAGUUUUAGAAGAGACUUUUGGAUAAUUUUCAAUUGCACUUUAAACAUUUUUACCUUUUCAAACUACCCUUAUCUUUGUGAUUGAAAUUCAAACAUAACCUUUGAUCACAACGGAUUCUUACAUAGUAUAAUGAUAAGGAUGUUUCAUUGCAUAUUAUUUUAUUGACUCACUAUGUAACUUAUGUUUUUUCUAUUAAAAUCACAUGAUAAAAUCAUCAUACUUCAGUUCCUAUACUACAAAAUAUUUAACAAUAAUUAUUAAUUAUCUUGAAUUACAAACACCAAAUUCCCGCGCGUCGCGCGGGCUGUCCCUCCCUAGUUAUUAUUAUUAGUUUGUAUCCUAUUAAGUGAAACUAGGUAUAUCUCGGAUGAUGGGUUUAAUAAUUGUUAGAGCAAUUAAUGAUAAAAUUCCAGCAUUUUGAUAAUGAAUGGUAAAGUUGGAAUUUGAAGAAAAUUUGAUUAUGUAGUAGUUCAAUAAAUAGAUGACUUAAAAUAAAUUUACUAGAGGAAAGGGUACACAGAAAAAGGAAAAAAAAUCUAUGGUAGUCAAUUGAAGUUAUGUUAAGUUCAUCAAUAGAGCGUGUUUUGUUGGACAGUAUUGGUUAUUUGCUGCAAUUAGCAAGUUUUAUUAGUCUUCAAGUGUAAGCGCGUGUGUGUCGCGUGUGUGUUUUUUUUCUUUUUGGAGAGGUUAGUAUCUUUUUACCCUUGUUUUGAGGGUCAAAGAGGAAUACUUAAAGUUGCAAGAAAAUGUUUAAACCUCUAAAAACUAUGUGUAGAGAUAAAUUUUUUUAUUUUUUACAAUUUUAAUAUCUGCAUUUAUUAUUUUAAAAUUACUAUUUUAUGAUCUAUAUUGUCUAAUGCAAUAUGCAUUUGGCACUGACAAUUGUUGAGGUCAAAUAUUAAAACAAGAGUAAAUAUUGACAGCGUAUACACUAUCAUCGUUAGAUUCAUGAUAUGUGUACAAAAGUUGAAUUUCAAAUUCAAAAUUUGUAUAUUUGUCAUUCAUCUAACGCUAAAGCGUAGAAAAGAUUCAUUAUUAAAACAAUACCAAGCCAAUUAUUAGGAUGGAAGGAUUACUAGCUACUUAAAUGUAGCCAUUAUACUGUCAAUUAAAAAAAAUGUAGCCAUUGUCAAAUACUGUUGAAUAAUUAGACUUUAACGUACAUUGGUCAAGUUUAAAUUUCUUUGACAUAAAUAUCCAUUAAUGUAUGUUUGACAAGAUCAAAUUUCAAUGUCAACGACCACGGAAAAUCUCCAUACUGGCGAUCUGAUCGCCGUUAUGGGAAAAAAAGCGGCGGAUCAACUGUUCACAUGGUUGUAUACAGUUAGGGUGGUCAACCGUUGACGCCUUAUCCUGGUGCAUUUGCGCUUUUUAAUUGACAAUAAUACUAACAAAUAAUGCUAAUUAGUUUAUACCAAUUUAGGAAUAACUAAGAUGCAUUACCUUUUCACAAAAGAAAAAGAAAAAGAAAAAGAAAAAGCCUAAGAUGCAUUACCUUUUCACUAGUUAGUUUUUAUAUGAGUGCAUCUGUAUUUACUUUGAAGUAUAUGGUUUUCGAAAGUAUUAUUUUUCAAGCUUAAGACUCAUGGUUUUUUUUUCUUUUCUCUUUUUUUUUUUUGCAUGAGAAAAGAGAAAUAAAGGUUUGGUAUUACUCGGGCAAGUCAGUUUGAUUUCCUUGACUGUGAGAUUACGUCUCCUUUUUUGACUUAAUUUUUCCUACCAUUAUCUUCCAAACAUGUUCUGAAAUAGUCUGUUUUAUGUUCCAAUGUCCGCCGUUGGUAUCUAUAUUUAGCCAUGAAGCUAGAACCCAAAAGAACUUCACUGAUGAAAAGGUAAAUAUUAGGGCGAUUCUGGUAGCUUAAAUGCCUUUAGGGUGCAACAAGAUUUGAGGUGAAAGAUAAUUGGAUUUAAGCUAUGACAAGAAUUGUGAGAUUGUUUGUAGUCUACGGCAAAAAUGGCCCCUGGAUUUGGCUUAAAAUGACUAUCGACAUAAUUAGACCAAAUUUCUGAAUGUUAAUAUUUUCUAUCCUGAUUUUGAAGUUUUUGUUCUAAUCUAAUUUUUGGUAAUUUAACCUAAUUCUUGUAAUCUUAUAAGAUUCAUAUAUUUCAUUCUGCUAAGCAUUUGACGUAAAAUAUGCUUUGCCAAUAUAGAGAUGUCAUAGCGAACUCAAAUAUUUGUGUCAAGGAAAUAAUCGUUUUAGGCUAUUUCUUCACUUUAAUCGGAAUUAGAAUUGAAAUCAUACUUGUCUGAAUGAUUGUCUUUAGCAAAAUGUAUAGAAUUGUCUUUAGUUCAAAAGCCUCGCACAUACUUGAGAAUUGAGUCUGAUAGAGUCAAUAAUAGCAAUGCACUUUGUAAAACGAAGGCCAUUGUCUAGAAGGAAAUUUAGCACUUGGACGAGAAUUUCCCAGAUUCUCAUCAAAACCGAAGGAAACAGCACACAGCAGAGACAAAAUCAGCUAUCAAUGAAAUCAGUUAACCAAAAGAUUGGAAUUAAUUAAUAAGCCUGUUUUGGUAUAAUUUUGAAGAGCCAAACGAGGUCCAAAUGUUUCAGUAAAUUCGCAUCAUUUUGGUUCUUCAGUAAAAUUUACGCAUAAUAAAAAGUUUCCUUUUGGAAGUAAAAUAUGUUAGAUGCCAAAUUUACACAAUAUUUGUCAAAUUAGAUUCACGGAAAUCAAUGAGCUGAGCAUCGGGUUUUAUAGGUCUCGUUACACAAGUGCAUAAAAUGACGGAUGAUUAGCAGAUCUUGCACAAAAAGGGAACAAGGAAAUCGGGAAGUGUUUAAUUAGUUAUUUAUUUAAUAGGACAUACGUACUUUUUUUUUUCCAAGAUUUCCAUAAUAUGCAACUGAUUUAUGGAAAUUAACGAGCUCCACCCCACUAUGUAUAGGCCAGGGAGGUAAUACUUAGACAUGGGAUUCAAGAAAACAAAGUGCAACACUUGAACUAGUCCUGCAUGGACAUAAUUAAAAUCCACCACCACUACCACCACCUCCUCCGAAUCCUCCACCGCCUCCAACGCCUCCGCCUGCUCCACCUCCUACACCCGCUCCAGCACCAAAUCCACCACCAUGUCCAAAACCUCCUCCGAGGCCUCCUCCUCCUCCACCACCUCCACCUCCACCACCACCGCCUCCACCACCACCUCCAAUGCCACCUCCUACUCCGCCACCUGCUCCAAAACCUCCCCCAUGGCCAGAACCGCCACCGACACCACCUCCUUGGCCGCCGCCUCCUCCAGCACCUCCACCAAUGCCUCCUCCGACACCUCCUCCUGCUCCAAAUCCACCACCAUGACCUGACCCACCCCCAAUGCCACCACCUUCACCACCGCCAAACCCUCCUCCUCCACCAACUCCGCCACCUGCACCUCCGCCAACACCACCUCCAGCUCCAAACCCACUGCCACCACCAACUCCUCCGACUCCAAAUAACCCUCGUCCUUUCCUUCCCCUACCACUACAACCCCUCCUACCAAUUCCACAACCAUCUUCCUUCAAUUCUUUGUUAAGCUUGCCAUCACCAAGAGUUGUUACACUCAACUCUAACACAAUGCUCAAGAGAAGAAGAAACACAAAGACACAUUUUCUCGAAGAUGAACCCAUAUUGCUAACAAGGUUCACACUUCGCAGUUCAAUUUGGCGUGCUCUAUUGCACCCCAAGACUUGGCAUUUAUAUAGGCUUCACCUUACUAGCGAAAGUGCCAAGAUUGUCAAUACACCGUUAAUGUAAGCAUUAAAAAUUCUUACUCAACGCGUCACAGCCGUUGGGGAGAUAUGGCGGGAGCCAUUAAUUAAUGAAGUGACCAUCAAAGUCAAUCUCUGAUGCAUCUUUGGAGCAUAUUUUCAAAUCUGUUGACAAAAAAAAAAAAAAGGAAAAGUAUUACUGAGUCGGUGUUUCUCAUGCAUUCAAGUGUAAGAAUACAACUUCUUGUUUUUUACAGACAUAACUUGCAUAUUACCUUUCAAAUUGCGCAAGUUAAUUUCAACCCACUUGGCACAAAUAUUUAGAGCUUUGCUUGCACAGCAACCAAAUUUAUUAGCCACCUGCAUAUCUGCUUGUGAUGGACUCAUGAUAAGCCACGACAUCAAGUAUUUUACCAUGCUACAACGUGCAAGUAGUAAUAUUUUUUUUUCCCUUUUCUUGCUCUUGUCCUUGGCGCUGAGAUCAUUGAGAAGGCAGCAGUCUUUGCAUAGAGUCCUACAUUGCUGAUUACAACUCCAUUGUUGAACAACGAUGCAUUACGUGUCUUGAGACGACUAGGGAUGGCCAAAAUGGCCCGUAUUUCUGGUGGAGAUUUUCUGACACGAUUUCAGUAUUUUCUCCAAUUCUGGCAACAUCUCCAAUUAUAUAUCCAAAAUUGUGCUUGCAAAAUAAUAGGAAGAAUGGCCAUGACACACAACAUUCUUGUUGGUUAAGACACUUUUUUUUUUUUUUUUUUUGCUUUUUGGGGGAUUUUGACAUAUGAUACUCUAGAGCUAUCACUUCGGCAUCAUUUCUUUUUCAAAUGUACCUUUUAAUUGAAUUACAAACUUUGCAAUGGUUGUGCUAAUAAUUUUUUUUCUUUACAAAGGGAAUUUUCUAUAACUCUCGGAGUUGUAAUUUCACGUAAAAUUGUCCCUUAGACAACAAUUAUGGUUGUGGAAAACAACUAACGCAAUUUUAAGUUGUAAAAGAUGUUACUCUUGACGGCUAAAAUGGCUCAAGUAGUCAAAGAGAUUAAAGACAACUACUAGUUGAGAACUAAGCUCGGAACUUGUGGUUCGGGGAGGUUUUUGGUUUAUAAAGUCAAUGGAAAGUGAUUGAAGGAAAUGGCAUUAACAUUAUUACAUAGAAGAGGAUGGAUUCGUCAAAAUUGUGUGUGUGUGUGUGUGUGUGCAGAUUUAUGUGUAUUGAGAGAUGUUGUAAACUAUUAUCCUGUUAUCCAUGAUUAUUAUAUAAGUAGAAUUUCUUCGUAGCAUUUAUUAAAGAUAUAUCUUACAACUAAUUUAGUUAACAUUAACUCAGUCUUAAAGGCGAAGAAAACUGUCUUUCUUUCCCAUUGGAUAAUACGCUCAUUGAAGUCAACUAACCAGUAUUUGUUUGACCUUAAUUUUGGGGCAUGGUGACUAUAUACAGUCUAUAGAACCAGUGAUCAAUUGGCAGUCUUUAUUUGACAUUUUGCGUGUAGAAUCAUUUGUGGAUUACUUUUGAAAAAGUAAUCAUCAACUUGAGGCACUGCUGCGAAAUCUCCUGCAUCUCUUAUUUUGACAAUAGUCGGCAGAAAAUUCCAAUAAGACAUAUUGAAAAAUGAAAAAAAAAAAAAAACGCUGGAGCAGUAACUCGUUCAUUAAAGUUGGUAAUCUAUUUGGACUAUAGUUGCAUCAAAGACGCUGCAAUUUUCGAAUGUUAUGAGAUCAUGAGACUGUUUGCUUUUCAUGGAUAGGUAUAUCUAAAAUUUUAGAGAUAUGAUUAGAAUUAAAUUGAGAGACAAACUUUUAUCAAAAUUAUGAAAUACUAUAAUGGUUCAUAAGCGCCUGUAGCUCUCAAAGUUAUAAACGUAUGUAAUCCUAAUAUGUUCUAAUCCAUUAUAACCUGUCAAUUGCCAAAACAAUUUUCUCUUGAUCCUACACCAAAUCUAGCUCCUGCCUCAAGUCAAUUAAGUCACUAGAGGCAACAGCAAAAUUUCUAUUAGCUCCAAGAAUGUUGGCAUAUUAAAUCAAGACUCAAAAUUAGAAAUUUUUUAUAUUGUUAUUUAGUAGUGUUUCAGUUAAGUUAGGGUUUUAGUAAAUCUAUUGGAGUCAAGUUAUGGUAGUUUCAUUGUUUAGAAAUGAAUAUUUUAUUAGGAAAUUUCUUAUGGUUAUAAGGCUUGUUUACUAAGUCAUGUAGUUUAUAAAUAGGGAGUCUUAUUAUUAUUGUCAGUUGAGAAGAGCGAAGGAUUGCCCAGUCUGGGUUCGGUCCGGUGGUUGUAGCCCAGUUGGGUGAGAGCCACCAACCAAGGAUCGAAUCCCAGUCGUUACCAUUGACCGAUGAUGUCGGGCAGCCUCUCGCGGUCACGCAGUGGGAUUAGUUGGGGCGUACGGUAACCAGUCCUCGGCCCCAGAUACCCACUGUGAUGAAAAAAAAAAAAAAAAAAGAGAAGAGCGAAGGAUUAAGAGUCUUGUUCUUAUGAUCUGAGUAAUAGAUUAUCAUUGAUAUUAUUCCUCUUCUUCCACACAUAUUUUUAUGUGUGUAAAUUGCCUCUCCAUAUGCAUUGAUUUUAUGAAAUAUAUCUCCUAUAUAUUUUUGGUGAAUUUUUUUAGUUCUACAAAGAAGCACUCUAAUUCUUGCUCACCUGCCACUGCUCCUUUCCGACCAAAAUCACAAUCACCAUUGCCACGUGCGAUUGCACUCAAGUCCAAGGCAAUGCUCAAGAGAAGAAGCAACACACAAAACCAUCGUUGAGAGAAACGCAUAUUCUUUACAUUAACUGACUCAAAAGGAUUGAAGUUAAAAUCUACGUAGUACUAAAGAUUGUCCUCCCAGUAUAAAUAUAUCUGCUUCGACGUAUAUGAUUUCUCAGUGUAUUCAUUUUAAAGCAUUAUGAAUCGCAGCCUUUUUAUUUGUUUUUAUUUUCAACAAAAAAGAAAAAUAGCUGAUUGGUCUUAGUGAGGGCAAGUUGCAUUUCCUUGAGUGUAAGACUAUUUGUCAAGUAAAUUUCCAAAUUAGUCUAUUUUUUGUUCCAUUGUCCAUGGUCGCUAUUUGUAUUUAAUCAUGAAGAUAGAACCAAAAAUAAAAAUAAAUAAAAAUAAAAGAUUAGGGUAAAUAUUAGGGUAAUUUUGGUGCCUAACAACCUUUUAGGAUGCAACAAACCCAGAAUAUUGAAUAUUGUCCAGUUAUAGUUGUUUCUUAUUUAUUGAAUAUUGUGGGUCAUAUAUAGGGUGUUUAGCCACUGUAUUCAAUUGUAAAGAGUGAGAGACAAAAUUAAUAGAUACUAUUCAGACUUUUGGGAGUUCUAAAAUUAGGGUGGAUUUGACUCCCAUUAACAUUUCAAGUCAGGGCAUGCCAAUAGAACUAUAAAUCAUUUAUAAAGACUCUUACAGUCGCUCGCCAACACAUGUUUACGGGAUCAUAAGUCAUUUAUAGAAAUUCUUACGUACCGCUCAUCAAUACAACUCUCACAUCGACAGUCGAAUUCAAACAUACAACCUUUUGUGAAGAAGUGACUUAUCCUUGUCAAUUGAACCCACUUGUAGUGGCAAUCAAAUCCAUCUACAUUCAAUGUCCCAUGUUUGCCAAUAUAGGAAUGCCAUUGUCAACUCAAAUAAUUGCUUGCACCCAUGGAAAUAAUGUUUUAGGCUGUUUCUUCAUUUCAAUUGGAAUCAGAACUGAAAUCUUGCAAGUUGUGAUCAAAAUUUUCUUAACAAUUGUCUUUAGCAAAAUGCAUAGAAUUCAUUCUUUUCGAGUUCCAUAAUUUGGUUCAAAUAUUUCGCAUGUACUUUAGAAUUGAGCCUCAUAGAGCUAAUAGUAACAAUUUAUUAAUGGGCCAUAGAACCUGGUUAAGACCAAAAGGAAAAAAAAAAAAAAGAACAGUUUAGUUUUGUAAAAAGAAGGAAUAAGCGCCCUAGAGACAAAAUCAGCAAGCAGUGAAAUCCAUUAAACAAAAGACUGGAAUAAGCAGGUAUAAUUUUGAAGAACCAAAUGAGGUCUAAAUUUUUCAGUAGUUUCACAUCUUUUUGGUUUGUCAGUAAAUUUUUCUGUAAGAAGGAUUUUUUUGCAAGCUAAAAUAUGUUAAAGAUCGAAUUCGCUCAGUAUUUGUCAAAUUCCAUUCUGGGAAAUCAGUGAGCAGCAUCAGCUUUUGACUCCAAAGGAUAUACAAUUGGCUUUUGGAGAUCAAAUACUAUCAAAUACUACCCAUAGAAGUGUCUACACCAAUUGGUAAACUAGCUUUUGUCUUGCUUAAUAUAUUUGUCUUUCAAUAAGCCAUGAGAAUUAAUAAUUCUGGGAACAUAUUAAUAUGAUAUUAUUCAAACUAUAUUACUAUUUCAGUUUAUUCUAACUUCAGUAAUUGUGAAAACUUUUCGCCUUAACCAGAAUGGAUGUUUCAAAAGAAGAAGAAGAAGAAGAAGACUAGAAGACUAGUAUCAGAUCUUGCAUAAAAAGGAAACAAGGAAACGUUUAGUAGGGCAUGUAAAUCAUGCAUUAAUUGUUUCUCGAACAGGACCUACGUCCUUUUAUCCAAAAUUUCCAUAUUAAAGGAAAUCAACGAGCUCCACCGAACCAUAGACUAGGGUGGUGGUAAUACAUACGUUCAAGAAAACAAAGGACCAAGGUUGAACUAAUCCCAGUAGACAUGUUUUAGUUUCCACCACCACCACCUCCUCCUCCGAAUCCUCCACCGCCUCCAACUCCUCCACCUGCUCCACCUCCUACACCUCCUCCAGCACCAAAUCCACCACCAUGUCCAGAACCUCCUCCAGCUCCACCUCCAAUGCCACCUCCUACUCCACCACCUGCUCCAAAACCUCCACCAUGGCAAAAACCGCCACUGACACCACCUCCUUCACCACCACCACCGCCACCGCCACCGCCACCGCCGCCGCCGCCGCCACCGCCUCCUGCACCUCCACCAAUGCCUCCACCUACUCCUCCUCCUACUCCAAGUCCACCACCAUGACCUGACCCACCGCCAACACCACCACCUCCACCACUGCCAAACCCUUCUCCACCAACUCCGCCACCUGCACCUCUACCAACACCACCUCCUGCUCCGAACCCACCACCCUUUCCAGCACCACUACCAACUCCUCCACCUUUACCACCUCCAAAACCUUCUCCAUCCCUGCACCACCACAACACCGCCUCCGGCUCCAAACCCUCCACCUUUUCCAACACCACCACCAACUCCUCCACCUUCACCGCCUCCAAAACCUCCUCCACCCCUUGCACCACCACCUACUCCACUCCCUGCACCACCACCAACACCACCUCCAGCUCCAAACCCUCCACGUUUUCCAGCACCACCACCAAUUCCUCCACCUUUACCGCCUCCAAAACCUCCUCCGCCACCUGCAGCUCCACCAACACCACCUCCUGCUCCAAACCCACCACCCUUUCCAGCACCACCACCAAAUCCUCCACCUUUACCACCUCCAAAACCUCCUCCACCACCUACUCCACCCCCUGCACCACCACCAACACCACCUCCGGCUCCAAACCCUCCAUUUUUUCCAGCAGCACCACCAACUCCUCCACCUUCACCGCCUCUGAAUCCUCCUCCGCCACCUGCACCACCACCUACUCCACCCCUGGCACCACCACCAACACCAACACCAACACCACCUCCUGCUCCAAACCCUCCACCUUUUCCUGCACCACCACUAAAUCCUCCACCUCCACCACCUCCAAACCUCCUCCAACUCCACCUAACCCUCGCCCUUCCUUUCCCCUACUACCACAGUUUCAUGACACCAAAGCAUUAGCUUUUACAUGCAUUACUACAGCAGUGAUUAUUAAUAUCAUUAAACUUUCAAACAGGAAAAUAGGCAAAAAAAAAAAAUGUACUCCAUGUUUCUCAUUACAACCGUUUGCAUUCCACUACAAAAUUGGCCAAAGUAUCAAAAGGGCAAAAACUAGAGGUCCUUGUGCUUGGCCUUCGUCAUUAUCUAUUUAGUCGAAUUAAUAUUAAAUAUAAUUAAACAAUCCAAAAGAGACAAAUCAAUAAAUCUUUCAUCCUGGCAUUCAUAUUUGCAAAAAUACAAUAUUUAUUGAAGUAAUAUAAACUAUCUGUGUGCAUAUUUGUACCUUCACAAUCACUUAUUAUAUAAAUGUCAGAAUCCGAAGAAUCUGUACGGCCUUGUUCAUCAUCAUCAGAGCUCUCUAUAUAUUGAACAAUAUCUUUUCCUGCAUCCACAUCAUAAUCAAAAUUCAGCCCAGAAAAAAAAAGGACACGUCCUUUGAAGAAGAAUUCAAAAAACAACAAUAAGCAUCUAUAAAUCUAUUUCCUCAAAAAACCCAGAAAUAUGAAAGCUAAAAAAAAGAAUCCCAUUUCGAUUUUAAUGAACCAAAUGAUCAAGCAAAGAGUAGUAGAUAAGGAAAUAAAGAAAGACAAACAGCAAGUCAGCAACCAAUAAACAGCAGGGUUCUUGGAACGGUACCUUUUGAAGCUCGAGAACGGAGAUUCAUCCCUAAAACAAGAAGGAAAAUGAAAAGUAGGAUUAGGGAUUUUCUGGGUUUUCCAAAUUAGAACGAAAAUUUGGGUUUUCUUGACUUUGAAGAAGAAGGGGGAAAGGGGUCACUCAACAGUCGUGUGCGUGUUUUCGGCUUAGUUUGGGAGUUUAUGAAGGAAGAGAAAAGAAAAGAUAGCUUAGGAAAGAAAGGAAGAGAAGGGAAAAGAUGCAUAUUUCGUUUGGGAGUUUAAUGAAAGAAAAGAAAAAAAAUAUCUUUCUUUUAUUUGAGAGUUGGAGAGAUAUGGAAAGAAAGGAUUUUAUGAGAAUAUAACUUUACAUAUUUGCCCUUUCUAUUUGUAAAUCAAAGUCCAAAAAUUAGCUUUCUUGUUCCCAUAAAUAGAAUAUUUGGACAAGACAAAUUUCUAAAACAAUUGCAUAUACAUUCCCACAUGGUGAAUAAUACAACAAAUUUCUUGCUGGACUUCGAUUCUCUUGCAUGCAUGUAAAUCGCCUCAAGUCCUUGUAGUGUCUUUUAGGUAUUCUUGACAUAUGAUUUUGAUAUUGACCGGAAAUGCCAUUAUACAUGUUUCAGCUAGUGUUUUUGCUAAGUUGAAACUCAAGUUUACCACUAAUUAUUCGAUUAUCUCAAUCUUCACUUCUUCACCACUUGAUCCAUCCUAAUGUUUAUAAAAUUUUAUUUGUUGAUGGUUAAUGCACUGACAAGCAUGACGUUUGGCAUUUAAUAUUGAAAGUUUUCAUCAUUUGAUCUUUUUUUUUGUUUUUUUUAAAAGAAAAAUCAUUCCAAUAAACGUAUUUGAGAGUAAAUAUCAAAUAAGAACUUGGGACUCUCAAAUAGCCAAUACGUUCGGGGGAGCCUGGGGACUUUGGCUCAACUCCAGAGUAACCACAUCCCACAACAGCUACACGUAUUUGAGAGUCCUUACCAAAGUUCUGGCGCUCUAAUGCUCUAAGUUUUUCAUCAACCAUCUGAAUUUCAAGAAGACCAAGACAAUACCAAUUAUUCUAAUUUACAUGCUGCAUUACUGUUUGAAGUAAUUACUGAAUAACUAAUGCUCAGUAGUACAUAUACUAACGCGAGCAUCUUCAAGAGUAGAAAAUGGCAAUGCAUACUCUGCAGCACCAGGCACAGAUUCAAGCUUUGCCUAAGCACCUAGUGCAAGUACCAACCUGGCUGCCCAAGCACAAAAAAACUAACAAUUUAGUACAGUCCAAUUCAUUCAUCCACACCGCUACCUCUGCCAGGAACAUAUAAACAUAGAUAAAAUAUUUUACUCAAAAAAGAAAGAGACUUUGGUUGUUAGCAAGAACCAAUAAGUGUGUUUAUUGGUUGAAAGACAAUAUUACUAAGUGUGUUUACUCUGGAGUUGAGCUGGUACCAUAAAAUACAUAAACAAGAUAUACGUGGAAUGCAACCCAAGUCAAUAAAAUGCCAUGCAACCAAGUGAACUCAAAAUAUACAUAAACCAGGUUUACAUGGAAUGCAACUAGGUUUCCUGUAGCAUUCAGAUUUCCGAAUUCACAUGAGCAUUUACUCCUGAUACAAAAUAAUUCUAUCAAUUUCUAAACAAAAAUACACCCAAUGAUCUACAUAUUUUCAAAACAUGAAAUGUCCAGUGGGUAAUUGGAAUCAUCUCCAAUUUCCAAAACUAGCUUAUAUCUUCAAAAGUAUUUGGUUUGGCUGCAUGUCAAGAACCAAUAUCAAGAAAAGCAAUGUGGUGCCUACUAAGAAACCGCCAAAGUUUACAACCCUAUACACACGCACACAGAGAUACAAAGACAUGCGCGUGCAAAAUCCCCACAAUGUAAUGUACCUCCGACAUUUUAAGAGUUAAUCUAACUCACCAUCUCAGUUAUUAUCGGACAAAUUACUUACCAAUUACCAAAUUUUUCCAUAGUAAAACUCACAGUUUCAUGACACCAAAGCAUUAGCUUUUACAUGCAUUACUACAGUAGUGAUUAUUAACAUAAUUAAACUUUCAAACAGGAAAAUAGGCAAAAAAAAAAAAUGUACUCCAUGUUUCUCAUUACAACCGUGUGCAUUCCACUACAAAAUUGGCCAAAGUAUCAAAAGGGCAAAAACUAGAGGUCCUUGUGCUUGGCCUUCGUCAUUAUAUAUUUAGUCGAAUUAAUAUUAAAUAUAAUUAAACAAUCCAAAAGAGACAAAUCAAUAAAUCUUUCAUCCUGGCAUUCAUAUUUGCAAAAAUCAAUAUUUAUUGAAGUAAUAUAAACUAUCUGUGUGUGCAUAUUUGUACCUUCACAACCACUUAUUAUAUAAAUGUCAGAAUCCGAAGAAUCUGUACGGCCUUGUUCAUCAUCAUCAGAGCUCUCUAUAUAUUGAAUAAUAUCUUUUCCUGCAUCCACAUCAUAAUCAAAAUUCAGCCCAGAAAAAAAAAAGGACACGUCUUUUGAAGAAGAAUUCAAAAACAACAAUAGCAUCUAUAAAUCUAUUUCCUCAAAAAAACCCAGAAAUAUGAAAGCUAAAAAAAGACAUCCCAUUUCGAUUUUAAUGAACCAAAUGAUCAAGCAAAGAGUAGUAGAUAAGGAAAUAAAGAAAGACAAACAGCAAGUCAGCAACCAAUAAACAGCAGGGUUCUUGGAACGGUACCUUUUGAAGCUCGAGAACGGAGAUUCAUCCCUAAAACAAGAAGGAAAAUGAAAAGUAGGAUUAGGGAUUUUCUGGGUUUUCCAAAUUAGAACGAAAAUUUGGGUUUUCUUGACUUUGAAGAAGAAGGGGGAAAGGGGUCACUCAACAGUCGUGUGCGUGUUUUCUUGUCUUUCUACGUAAAUCCCAAUUACGCCAGUUGCUACUGAGAUAAAGAUAACGAACAAUUACGGAUUCAAUUAUCCCUAUUUAGCAAAAUAGCCUAUGUGAAUAAUUAAAUAUUGCGCGUCUAUUCAAUCACUCACACGAGCUAUAGCAAUUAAAAGCAGGAAACAUAUAAAUACCAAUAAAUUAAGGAAACAAUUAAAAUAAAUUAGAUCUCACAGUAAUUGUUGAGCCAAGUCUGCAGUUGUCCCCUUGACUAGAAUUAAGAGGUUAGUCCUCCAUUAAUGGAGAACAACCAUGCGAAAAAGCUAAGAAAAGAAAAACUAAAACUAUCGAUUCCUCCCAGUUCUCUGUACGUUUCCCCCUUUUUAAAGCCAAAAGGAAGUCUAAUGCUAUCUCUAGUGGUCCCCACACCAAAUUCAAAGUCUUGUACGUUUCUUUUCCUAGAGUCCAAAUGACUCAUGCUUCUUAUCCGUGGUCCCCGCACAUGUGGACAAAGCCUCCAAAGUACUUGUUGUUCCAAAUCUCUCUACGUUGCUUUCUUUGAAAAGCCCAAAUGACUAAAUGCCUUGCACUAGCUUGUGGUCCCCACCAAUUCAAGGACCCAAAGGUUGAAGCCCUUAGAAGUCUGCAUUUUUCCAUACAAGUCCCUCCUUUUUGGUAAUUUUCUGCUUCACUCCUGAAAUUGAUUCCAAAUACCAAAUAUGAGUAAAUAUCAGCAAUUAACACAAUAUUUGUCAGGGAUAGAAGGGGAAAUCAAUAAUAAAUUUACUAACAAAUUAUACCCUAUCAAAAUUCCACAAAUAUAGUAUAUUAAGAAGCAUAAAAACAAAUGAAAAUUAAACUAACCAAUGGCUGACCCUAUUUGUAAAUUGCAAUUUCAAACCAAAUGUUAAGAUAAUCUCUUGAAGGUCUCACUGUGAACAUAUAUAUUUGUCUCCACUGACAUUUAUGUAACUACAAUUCCAACCAGAUUAGUUUAUAUAUUGAUCACUUUAACAAUCUGAUUAGGUUUAACUUCAAUCCAAUGCUCAAAGUACAUGCACUACCCAGCACAUAGCACAUCACCGCUAACUACCGCUAACACCGCACUUAGCACAGCAUGAAUUUGUACUGGAAAUGAUGCUUGAAAAUUUGAAUGUUCAAUAUUGUUAGAUUUCAACAAGAGAAAAAGACUACAAAAUGAAUCCUACAUAACAAUCUCCAAUGCAAGUACGAGGGUAUUAAAGACCAACAAGGGUAAGAUAGUCAAAAAUAAACAAAAUGAAGGGCAAUAUAGACAAAAGAUAGUAUACCAAACACUUACCUAGUAAACUAAUCAGAAACAAAAAACCAACAAACUUAACCUUCAACCCAAAAAUUUCAAGAACUCCACCUACUAAUGGUGCCCAUAGGGGACCAUUAGCCCUAUUCCUAACUCCCACUCCCCCUCUUUUUUUUUUCCUUGACUUGGACCAAUCAUGUGGGAGGUAACUAUACUUAAGCAAUAGGCACUUUUGUCAUUUCACUUUUUCCAUCAUUUGGAUUUGGAUCUUAAAAAUAAUAGAGGAAGUCAAUCAAAUUUGGCUAAACCAUAAGGGCUAAUUCAUAAUUGGAACCACUCUUCAAGUAAUAAAUGAACCAUGAUGACUAUGUAAUUACUAGGGCCAGUCUAGUGGUUUUGAGAGGACUUUUAGAGUCCAUCUAUUGUGAGGUUCAGAAUUUGAUGUGCACAAUCGAGGGUGGAAGGGUAUGAGAAGGGAUAGAAUGAUUAAAAAAAAAAUCAUUGGGUCAUGUUGGGGUGCAGAUUAGUGUAUUUGUUACAUAAGAUAUAGAAAUAGUUUUCUUUCUUCGAAGGGUCAUGAUGAGACGUGUAUUUAGUUAAUUAUAGGAUCAAUAUUUUGUCGCAUCCAAAUCGGGAGGAAACGGGAAUAGGGUUAAAAGUGAUUAGGCCUAUCAUUGGGUAGUUUCGGGUCGGAAUUGAAUAUUUCGGAUCUAGUCCCUCUUAACUAUACUUGUACUAGAUUUGCUCCAAAUACUCGACGGGUCUUGAACUUAUUCUCUAGGAUCUAGAUUCGAUCAGGUUCAGAUACAAGUCAAGUAUGCCCAACAAAAAAAAAAAUAGGCAAAGAAAUGAAAAAAAUGUCUUUCUAAAAAAACAUUAAUUACACACCACAAUCCCAAUUAAAAAUCACAAAUCACUUUAGAUAAUUAUUCUAAGGCCUACAAAUUACAACUCCUAGAAGAUCCAAACAAAUAUUAAAUACUCAAACAUAUGGUCAAAACAAUUACUUAUUCAAACGUGUUCGGUUCGAACCUAGGUCAAAACUCAAUAUUCCAUAACCAACCUAGUUUUAGAUUAGUAUAAACGGGUCUGGAUCAAAUCCGAGUAAAUAGAAUUAUAACUAUAUCCGUAUCCAAAAAUAUUGAGUGGGUUCGAGUUGGUUCCUGAUCAAAACCUGGUCCGUUGACAGUGACUAAAGGUAAUUAAGGGGAGUGUCAGUUGGGAUCAAGGAGAGGGGAGAAGAAAUGAGUGGCAAGGUAUAGCAAACAGGGUGGCCAGUUAGGGUGAGUGACAGGUGCCGAACCUGUGCAAUAAUAAAUACCUACUCGAGAAAAAUACAGAUUUUGUAUAUAGCGGUGAGUAGGGUCGAAUCCACAGGGACUGGGGAUAAUUCGUUUCUUCUAGAGUCCAAAGUAUGGGGGGUUUUGGAUUAAAUGCUAACUAAAUAAAUUAACUGCAGAAAAUAAUUGAUUAAGAGAAAUAAUUAAGGGAAAACUCUAGCCAAGGGUACACAUUAGAAAUGGUUCAUGCACUGAUCAUUGAUGCAGAAAUAAUUCCAACAUUUAGCAAUAGAUUAGUUAUAGUUGUCAUCCACGCGAUAAACAACCAACCCUUCCUUAAUUUCUCGUUAGCUAAGGUACGACCGUUAGCUAUUUCUCUAACCCAAAAAUAACCCUAGGUACGACCGUAGGAUUUAAUUUCUAGAUUGCAUUAAUAAUUAGAAAGGCCCAAUCCUAACCAACAAACACGCUACGAGGGUUUGUUUAAAUUAGAUCAUAUGCUCCCCUGACAUAAAUCCAAUUACGCCAGUUGCUACUGAGGUAGAGAUAACGAACAAUUACGGAUUCAAUUACCCCUAUUUAGCAAAAAUAGCCUAUAUGAAUAAUUAAUUAUUUCGCACUAAUCAAUCAUACACAAGGCCAUAGCAAUUAAAAUCAAGGAACAUAUAAAUACCAAUAAAUGAAGAAAAUAAUUAAAACAGAUUCGAUCUCACAGUAAUUGUCGAACCAAAUCGUCAGUUGUCCCCUUGACUAGAAAAGCUUAACCACGCCUCAUGAGAAAAUCUCCCCGUUGGGGAAUAUUGUCGAAUACCUGGCGUGUGCCAGAGGCCAGUCCAAAGAAAGAAAACUAGAACUAAACUAAAAAACUAAAACUAAAGCCCUAGAUAUCUUUUGCUUCUGUCCGUUGUCCCCUUUUAAAGCAACAAAAGAAAGAUGACUAAAAGCUAUCUAGGUGGUCCCCACACAUAUGGACAAAGCCUCCCAAGUACUUCUUGUUUCAAGUCUCUCUACGUUGCUUUCUUUGAAGCCCAAAUGACCAAAUGUCUUUCACUAGCUUGUGGUCCCCCACCAAUUCAAGGGCCCAAGGAUUGAAACCCUUAGAAGUCUCCAUAUUUUUCACAAAGUCCUUCCUUUUUGGUAGUUUUCUGCUUCAUUCCUGAAAUUGAUUCCAAAUACCAAAUAUGAGUAAAUAUCAGCAAUUAACACAAUAUUUGUCAGGAAUAGAAGGGAAAAUUAAUAAUAAAAAUACUAACAAAUUAUACCCUAUCAAUUCCCCCCACACCUGAAUCAUGCUUGCCCUCAAGCAUAAGAACAGCAAUUGAACACCAAAAUUUUGACAAUGGCUAUUGCUCUAACUAUCAUAUUGCCAAGAUACCCAGAAAAACAUAUAUCAAGCAUCACAGUUAAGAUCCAAGAAAAAUCACUCCGGUUAGCUUCUCAACCACCAACUCCUCCAAUUUAAAGCAAACUAAUCUAAGAAAAAGGAAUGGUUGCUCACAUUUAUCAGCAAAUGGUCCAACUAUUAACCAAAAUCUCGACAUUAAGAUCACAAACCGGCAAGCUGACUUAUUCACAUACUAACACAAUCUUUAUUUUAUUUUAUUUUUUUGUUUUUUUUUGUUUUUUUUUUUUGAGGAACAAAAGACUUAGUCUAUAGCCCUUAGAGCAUUUUGACGCGAACUCCAACAUUUGAUAGAUGAAGGAGCCCGGUUACUCAGCUCCAAUCGCUACAGGACCACGCACUCAUAGCAACUACUACCUUUUGACGCGAGAAUCGACACUUUAGGUGAAGAUCCCCGGUUACUCAGUAGUGAUAACUAGCGGAGUACAGUCACCUUUUAUUUACAAUCAUAUAGCACAAUAACUAAAAAUAACAUAAAAAUAACAGCAGCCAGCCUCAAAUUUCAAACAUGGAGAACUAAAAUUAAUAAUUGGACCAAUUCACAUGAAGAAUGCCAAUAAUCAUUCCCUUUGCCUAGAAAAGUUAACCAAAAAUUGGAAAAGUUAAGCAAUUAUUGAUAUUCACCAAAGAGAUGUUCCUGAACUCAACCACAUCAACUUGAUAUUCUUUUAUUAUUAAAACUUGGCAAUAGCAGAAUUAGAGGCAACAAUCCAGCAUCAAAACUUGGUAGUCAUAUGAAGACUGACCACUAAAAAGAAAGAAAAGGAAAUAAACGAAAAAUAGAACAAAUAACAAAAAUAAAGGAAAACAUGUACAAACUAAAAAUUAGAAAUACUAGCUGUACCACAGCUGUCCCCCCCACACCUAUGUCCGACAUUGCCCUCGAUGGAGGUAAUAUAGCAAUUAAAGCGAAGAGAAAAACGAAACUUCCCUCUCAAGCGGCUACGGGAUAGGCGGGAACGGGGAGUGAAGCAGACAUGGUGGAAGUACGCGGCCAGGUUCUUAGAGAUUGGAGCCAUCUGGUUGGCGAUAUGCAUUACUUGCUCAUCCGCGUGGUGAACCUGAUCUCGGAAGUGGCGCCACUUAGCAUCAGAGGCCAUCGGUGUGAGAGGCCACUUACAAAUUCAAAACAAUAACAAUUUAAUAGCCACUGGUGCCUCCCUCGUAGACAACCCAAUCAACAAAAUGCACAACCUAGGCACCUAGAGACUAUACAAAUAUCCCAACAAUACAGCAAUUUCAAUCAAUACUCACUGGUGGCCCCAAAUCAGUCAGAUGUAGAAACAAAGCAGUCCGAGAUUACCAACACAACCAGUACCAUUGGUGCACAUAAGACGAAUAAAUUAUAAGCCAAACACCACAACCAGUACCACUGGUGCACAUGUAGAAAAGAAGUAAAUCACACGGCCAAACCAAACAAUAAAAUGCACACCUAAGGCCCCCAAAGGCCGUAAAGGUACCCCAAUGAACUAAGUAAUUGAGAUGAACAAGACAAAAUAUUCCCACACAAGACAAUUAGAGGCAACCCACUUCAAUAAGCAAAUGCAAAGUCACAUUCAUAUCCCAAUUCAGCAAACGGACGCAGAAAAAGGACCCACCACACCAGAGCACAGCUCCCAACAAUGCAACAAAACAAUAACUCGAACAACGAAGAGCGGUGCUAGUGGCUAAUCAAAAUAACAAAUUCAGCAAUUGGACACAACUCCACCCAAAAUCUCAACAACUGUCUCCAAUUGGACAGUCAAUUACACAGUUCAACCUACUAAAAAUAGCAAAUGACCCAAGAGAGUGGGAAUUCCAGCAAUCAUAGUGCAGAAUUCGGGCAACACUUUAAGCACGAGAGCCCAGUAGUCAAUUAGGCAGUCAAGCACUUAAGAUUAAGAAAUUUGAGGCAAACUACUGCUAUCAGUACCACUGGUAAAUGCUCAAGGAGAAAGUAAAUCAAAUGGCCAACCCAAAUUCAAUCCACACAGAUGAAAAAUAGAGGCCUCAAGCAGGUAAAACCAAAUCAAUAUUCAACAAUGUAAUCAUUAUCAGAAAAUACGCCCAAAUGGAGCAGUAAAGAAACGUAAUUCCACCCUAAAAUUAACCCCAGAAAAUGUUCAAAUCACCUCCUGCGUUAUCCAUCAAGAAACCCACAAAGAGGCACAAAACCCAGCACCUGAAGAUUCAGGAAAAAUGCCAAAACAAGGGUAGAAAGUUAAUACCUCCACCUGUCAAAAUUGACAGGUGGUGACGCGCGGCAAGGGGAAAACAGAGAGACGGGCGGCGCACGGCGUUGUCUGGUGGCGUGGCGGACGGCGGCGGCGGCGGACGAACGACGUGGGCUGAGCGAGAGGUGGAGCGCGAGGGUGAGUAAGGGAGAAAAGAGGGCGGCGCUGGUUGUCCGUGGGCUACGUGCGGUGUGCGGAGCAGAGGAGGAUGUUGCUGAUGGUGUUGCGAGUGGGUAGGAGGAGCUGUGCGCAGGUGAAGAUUCGGCCGUGGGCUGUGGGUGAAGCGGAGGAAACUCCUGGCGGCGGGUUGGUGGUAGCGGCAGGCGGCGGGCGCGCGCCGUGGGCUGCUGGUGGAGCGCGAGCUCAGGCGGAGCUGUGCACUCGGCUGUUGGCUGCGCGCGCGAUGGGAGGAGAGGGGCGCGGCGCUCGGCUGGUGGAGGUGGAGGUCCGUGGUGGAGGUAGAAGCUGCGAUUAGCUGGUGGAGGUGCACCAGCGAGGUGGGUGGCGGACGAUGGAGGGCAGCCGAAAGAAGAAAUAAAAGAAAAGGGAAACAGGGCAGCGGGGAAGAAAGAAAGAAAGAAAGAAGAAGAAAGAAAGAAAAAGAAAAAGAGAAAGAAAGAAAAAAAAAUAGUUUUUGGAUUUUUUUUUUUCAAUGUUUUUUUUCCAAAUUUUUUCCCGAAUUUAAAUUUUCCAAAUUUGAAUUUUUGAAGAAAAGGAAAGAAAAAAAAAUGCUUUUUGAAUUUUUGAAUUUUCUCAAUGUGAAAUUUUAACUCUUUUUUUUUUUUUUCAAGGAACCUCUGGCUUAGGCGUGGGCACGUCUAACUGCUAUAGAGUCCGCAGAUCCUGAACGAAAAUUUCUUUCCCUCAGGCGUGACCACCUGGCGUGGGCACGUCUAACUGCCACUUUCCUGCCACCAAGCAACAAAUCACUAAAUGCAACUAACACUUAACAAAAACUCCAAAAACAUAAGAAAAUUAAAACAAAAGCCUUGGGUUGCCUCCCAAGCAGCGCCUUUCUUUAAUGUCUUUGGCUAGACAUUGUCCUGUUUAUUCAUGGAGGAUAAAAUCGCGUAGCUCGCUUCAGUGCUUCAUCUUCUAUGUGAUCCUGAUAGCCCUCGUAAAUAGAGUAAUUCUUGAGCACACGAGCUACGGUCUUCCAUGGACCAGUAGAUUGCGCCAAACAACCAAGUAAUGACCUUAAAUCUUCAUUCACUCCUCCAUCACAAGCACCUACUGGUUUGAGAUAUUUUGCCAUCGUGACUCUUAACUUGUUCCUGUCAUGAAACUCAAAAUUUUCUGGUAUAAUAAAAUCAAUCUCACUAACAGAAAUUAAAGAAUAAGAGUCAGGAAAAUAUUGAUCAAGAAAUGGAGGAGAUGUCACCGCAUUUGGAGAUUGUUCAUUGGAUUCAUUCACUUGAACCAUUUGAUGUUGGGGUCUCAAUUCUUGCGCUUCAACUUUCUUUUCAACUGCAUCUUUAGAUUCUUUUUCUUGAGACCCUUGCAAUACCAUGUCCUUUGUCAGAAUAAUUGCACUCUCAUCUUCCUCAUGGUCGAUAAUAGUCGGUGAGGGCAAUUCUUCAUAAACUGGAGAAAUCAAUUUGCUCAUUUUAGAUGCCCAUUCACACCUUCUUUCUUUCAUCUCUUCACUCAUCUUUUGUGUCUCCUGUUGAAGUUGAUGUACCUCCUGUUGAAUUUGAUAUGUGUUAGUAGCUAUUAAUUCAACCAUUUCUUCAAGAGACAUACCUGACAUGGAUGACGGUUCUUGAGACUCUAGCUGUUGAAAAUCUAGUGGCCCUGUUGUAUAAUUAUAACUGGAGUUAUCCCACCAUCCUUGAUCAUACCCGUUUGGAUUAGGGUUAUACCACGUUUGAGACCAUGGUGAAAAAUCUCCAUAAUUAUUGAGUGGGACACUUAGAUUAUCUUGAUAUUCGGGGCACAUACCGGUCGAAUGAUCCCUGGCAUAACAAAUUUUACAGGUUGCAGCAGCCAUUUUUUCCCUAAUAGAGUUUACUGCCUCUGAAUAUGCAAACUUAGCAAAAAAAACUAGUCUCAUCGCCUUCCCCGGAAACAAAAUCCAGUCUAUCACCAAAAUACGGAGUGUUAGAAGCCAUAAACUAUAAUAAAAAAAUAAGAGAAAAAUAAAUAAACAAUAAAAAAAAUAAAAACAAGAUGAACUCAAAAAGAAACAAAUUAAUCUGGCACCAGUCCCCGGCAACGGCGCCAAAAAUUGACAGGUGCCGAACCUGUGCAAUAAUAAAUACCUACUCGAGAAAAAUACAGAUUUUGUAUAUAGCGGUGAGUAGGGUCGAAUCCACAGGGACAAGGGAUAAUUCGUUUCUUCUAGAGUCCAAAGUAUGAGGGGUUUUGGAUUAAAUGCUAACUAAAUAAAUUAACUGCAGAAAAUAAUUGAUUAAGAGAAAUAAUUAAGGGAAAACUCUAGCCAAGGGUACACAUCAGAAAUGGUUCAUGCACUGAUCAUUGAUGCAGAAAUAAUUCCAACAUUUAGCAAUAGAUUAGUUAUAGUUGUCAUGCACGCGAUAAACAACCAACCCUUCCUUAAUUUCUCGUUAGCUAAGGUACGACCGUUAGCUAUUUCUCUAACCCAAAAAUAACCCUAGGUACGACCGUAGGAUUUAAUUUCUAGAUUGCAUUAAUAAUUAGAAAGGCCCAAUCCUAACCAACAAACACGCUACGAGAGUUUGUUUAAAUUAGAUCAUAUGCUCCCCUGACAUAAAUCCAAUUACGCCAGUUGCUACUGAGGUAGAGAUAACGAACAAUUACGGAUUCAAUUACCCAUAUUUAGCAAAAAUAGCCUAUAUGAAUAAUUAAUUAUUUCGCACUAAUCAAUCAUACACAAGGCCAUAGCAAUUAAAAUCAAGGAACAUAUAAAUACCAAUAAAUGAAGAAAAUAAUUAAAACAGAUUCGAUCUCACAGUAAUUGUCGAACCAAAUCGUCAGUUGUCCCCUUGACUAGAAAAGCUUAACCACGCCUCAUGAGAAAAUCUCCCCGUUGGGGAAUAUUGUCGAAUACCUGGCGUGUGCCAGAGGCCAGUCCAAAGAAAGAAAACUAGAACUAAACUAAAAAACUAAAACUAAAGCCCUAGAUAUCUUUUGCUUCUGUCCGUUGUCCCCUUUUAAAGCAACAAAAGAAAGAUGACUAAAAGCUAUCUAGGUGGUCCCCACACAUAUGGACAAAGCCUCCCAAGUACUUCUUGUUUCAAGUCUCUCUACGUUGCUUUCUUUGAAGCCCAAAUGACCAAAUGUUUUUCACUAGCUUGUGGUCCCCCACCAAUUCAAGGGCCCAAGGAUUGAAACCCUUAGAAGUCUCCAUAUUUUUCACAAAGUCCCUCCUUUUUUGUAGUUUUCUGCUUCAUUCCUGAAAUUGAUUCCAAAUACCAAAUAUGAGUAAAUAUCAGCAAUUAACACAAUAUUUGUCAGGGAUAAAAGGGAAAAUUAAUAAUAAAAAUACUAACAAAUUAUACCCUAUCAGUGAGGAGGGGAGGGGUUGCUGCUAGCUUGAUGUUGGUGGAAGAAAGGGAAACGUGAUUUGAACUCUAGGCAGGGUCAUGGAGGGGAAAGGAAAGAAAGUGGCGGCAGGCAAUGGUUGGCCGGAAUGGCGAGGAACAGGAAGGGUGUCAAUGCUUAACAACUACUCAAAAAACUGAAAAAACACUCCAAAAAAAAAAUAUAAAGUUAUUUUUAGCUAAUAAAGCCUAUGGUAAAAUAUUUUAGAAACACUUAAUCCAAGCACAGCCUGAAAUUUUACAAUUCUCUACUGCACCCCUUAAUUUUCUCGAGUUUUGUUCAUUUUCUACAUUGCGCCUUAGAGAACUAAAUCCCUUUUUCCUUUUAACUAAAUCUUUUACCUUUAAUCUGUUAAAAAUUUAUAACGUCACUACAUCAAUAAGUAAAAUCUGAAUAAACUUUAACUUUAGUGAACUAAAAAUUGUUCGACCCGAUCAAGUAACCAUGUUGAUUAGAGAAAAAGUGCUUUAGCUCGUUUAAACAAUUCGGCUAGUCAAAAUUUUAUUUUUACACUCUGCCAUCACCUAGUUAUGCCCAUUAAGUGUUUGAAACUCCAACCAUUUGGACGUAUUUGACAUGGACAAGUAUUAUUGCAUGGAUCAAGGAACGGGUGACUACAGCAGAAUAGAGUAUAAAUACUAAUAUAAUACUAAUGUAAACAGUAAUAUGGUAAAUGUAGACACUAAUACAAUAAGAUUAAAAAUUACAACAAAUUUUUGGACUCAAAUUUUAAUGAGACAGAAAAUUUAUUGUGCUUUUACCUAUUUUUGUAUUAAUAUUUACAUCUAUUAUUUAAUGUCUACAUUUAUUUUUAGAGUAACUUUUAUAUAUUGUCAGUAUAUAUAUUAUUACAGUUGGAUGGAUGACACAGGAACAAAUUUUGCACAUAUGUCAUAUACUUAAGGGUGAUAGUGUAUAUACUAACCGUGUAUGUAAGAUUAAUCCCUAUUUUAUAGUGUCUACAUUGCACUCUACUGCCAUUACUAAUUUUUAUUGUGUCUACAUUCAUUUUUGUACUGGAUAUGACAAUAUAAACCACUAAUCCUUAUUGCAUGAUACAAUAAUUAAUGGUUUCUAUCAUCAUGGUUUACUAAGAACAAAAAAGAACUACACUAAUUAAAUAAAAGUAGGGCGGAUUCACUAUGAAAAGUUCAUAAUUUCCGUUUACUUCCCACAUGUAAAUAAAAUUUACUCUUUUGUAACGACGGUGACAUCGAACCACUUCUUAUGACAAAGAUCCUCUGUCACAGGGGAACAUAAUAUAGCAACCUAUGGACUAUUCUUAAGAUGAAAACGACUGGCAUGUAGUAAUAUAGUCCAAAGAUUACUAUUAGUUGAAACUUUUCAAGGUAAUUAACUAUUCCACAGUCUUUGACGAUCGACUUAAGAACUAAAUAUCUAUUUUUGACACCCAUGGAGAAAAAGAAACUUCUGUGCUAAUCAUCUAGCUAAAAUGAGUCUCAACGUGCCAAAUAAGUCUUCCAAAGUUCACGGGAACCACUAGAAUCUCUUAAAGGAUUAAUUUUUUAUGUACUGACAGUGUAGUAAAUUUUUUAUACUAACAGUUUUAGAUAUAUGUUAUAUGCACAUAAUUUAGAUUUCAAAUUUGAAUUCAUAUAUGUAACGGAAUCUAAAUAUGUUAGUGUAAAAAACAAAAUUAUACACUGACAGUAUAUAAAAAAGUUAUCCUCUCUCAAAUCUCUUCUUGUUUUAGAUGUUGUUUGUGUUGCGAUACCUGGUUUCGUUCCAAUGUAACAAGUCAGUCCAUUGGAUCCAAAAAAGCAAAAGAGAAAGAGGAAAUAACAUCUAUAUCUGAAAAUAGCAAGCCAACAAUCAUAUGGAAAUAGUAUGAGUUAUAAAAUAUAUAUUAGCCUGUAAAAUAAGAAGAUGUGUGAGGAUCCCUAAGGUCCCUAUAAGCAAAGCAUAUUAUUUCGAUUGCGUAAUCACAAACACAAUUUCUAAUCAACUUUUUAUAUUUUCAAUCACAUUUUUAUCUCAUAUAGAUCACAUUCCAAAAAGUAUUACAGUAUUUAUUCUAAAUAAUAUUUGAAGUAAUUUCCUAUCCAAACACACUCAAUUAAUUCUUUGAAAAAUUUUGAGAAAAAAAUUGCUGCUUUUGACUCCCAUGAAUUAUUCUUCGAAAUAAUUAAUAUAGUUAAGACUGGGACAGCUUUCCAUAUUAAAUGGGUUCAAAAGUAACUAGUAUAUCUUUUCUUUGAAUAAAUUGUAAACUCAGAUUUGCCCAAUGUAUGGCAAAUACAGGUCAAGAGAAAAAGUUGAUAUGAAUAUGCAGAGACAUCGUACUCCGCAGCUAAGGUUGUCACCAACAAAGGAUUCUUGCACUUCUUGAUGCCUUUGACGUCCCAAGAAUUAAAUAGAGUGAUAAUUGGGAAAAAUUUUAUCUUCUUCAAAAGCAACUUUAUCUAAUCUUUUUGAUGUGCAAAAAGCAGCAUUCAUUUUGCUUGCAGCAAAAUGUAUCUAUGAACGAUUUGCUUAAGAUCUCACAACAUUAAAUUGAAUUCGCAUUCUUUUUUUAGUCACACCCUAAAGUUCACUUUGCCACUAGAUAAUUCCGGAAUAGGUCCUGAAAGGAGUCUGCAAUGUUAUUAUUAAGAUUUAAUCUCAAUAUGAGGCUCAUAAACACCUUAUUCAGAAAGAAAAGUAUCUAAGCAUACGUUACAUUCAAAAGUAACUUUUCUUUGAUAAUACAUUUAGAUGCAAUAUUAGCAUUAUAAAAAUUCGAAAAAUGUUAUUUGUACUCCAUAGUUUGUUAUUUGCAGUCUCAUUCUUUAUUUUAUCAUAUAAAUUAAUAUAUGAAAAAUAUAUAAUUAAAAUGGUAGUGAAAGUAUGAUUAACAAAAAUAGAAGUGCAAAUAACGUUUUCCUAGAAAUUGUUCGUAAGGAAACUCUUAUUAUACAUAUCAAUUGUCUAUACGUUCCACUUGCUUCUUAAAUCAUGGUUAAGAACUCUUAUUACCCACGUCAAAACCAUAGUUCUAUUGUUACAUAUUCCAUUCCUCUUUCUGGGCUCUUCUUUCCAUUUCCUCCUCAAGUUUGGAAAGAAAACAAAGAGUAGUAGUGUGAGAUUUUUCUUUAUAUUACAAGAUUGUGCUGCCAUUUUCCAGUGGACUUUCAUAGUUCAAUCUGCAUCGAAUAAUUAAAUCUUGUAUAGAUACGGAAGAAAAUGGCAUUGCAUUGCUUUAGUUGUAGUAAUGAUAUUACAAUUAAUCACGAGAACAUAUUCAUUUUACUGGUAUACUUUUUGCAGCUUAAGCAGAAAACAAAGAAAAGAAAAAAGGACAAAAAAGUAGCUCUCAUUUAAGUUUUGACAGCAGAAUGUGGGUUGAAACUUUGAAUCUGCAUGGCUGGGUUUAUAAGCAGCAGCAUCUCUACUGUCCACCACCUUCUCCACCGCUGCCGGAACCACUACCAACACCAACGCCCUUGCCAGCACCAGCACCAGCCCCUACGCCAAUGCCUACUCCAACCCCAACACCAAUUCCACCUCCAUGGCCACCUCCUAAACCACCACCUCCAGCUCCACCUCCUACACCUCCACCAGCUCCAAAACCACCACCAUGGCCUGAUCCUCCCCCUCUUCCUCCACCACCACCACCUCCAAAUCCUCCACCUGCCCCACCUCCAACACCUCCUCCUGCACCGAAUCCACCACCGUGGCCAGAACCACCUCCAAUGCCGCCACCGCCUCCACCUCCACCUGCUCCUCCUCCAAUGCCACCCCCUACUCCACCUCCUGCUCCAAACCCUCCUCCAUGCCCAGAGCCACCACCAAUGCCACCUCCUCCACCGCCACCACCUCCUCCUCCAGCACCUCCACCAAGUCCUCCAGCACCACCACCUACACCUCCACCAGCUCCAAACCCACCUCCAUGACCUGAACCACCUCCAAGGCCACCGCCUCCACCACUACCCCCUCCUCCUCCUCCACCAGCACCACCACCAAGUCCUCCACCACCACCUACACCACCUCCAGCUCCAAAUCCACCACCAUGACCUGAACCGCCUCCAACACCACCACCUCCACCUCCUCCAAACCCUCCUCCUCCACCUACACCACCUCCUGCACCUCCACCAACACCACCUCCUGCUCCAAACCCUCCACCUUUACCUGCACCACCCCCAACUCCUCCACCACCUCCACCACCAAAACCGCCACCUCCACCUACUCCACCUCCACCACCAAGACCUCCUCCAGCUCCUCCACCAAAACCUCCACCACCUCCACGUCCACCUCCAAAUCCAGGACCUCUUCCUCCUGGUCUUCCAAAUCCACCACGUCCACCACCAAAACAACCUCUCCUUCCAAAUCCACAAUCAUUAUCUCCCCACGUCUCUUUUUCUAUCUUGCUAUCUCCAAAAGCAACUACAUUCAAUUCUAACACCACACUCAAGAUAAGAAGAAGCACGCAAAACCAUUUUUGAGAAGAACCCAUAAUGCUUACAAGAAUUCAAA
rnacentral:lncRNA from 1 species